rnacentral:lncRNA from 1 species
CGGGGCCUGCCCGGAUCUUGGCAUGAAGCAUCAGCGCGGCAGAGCGGAGACGAGGACCCAAGGGAAGGGAAUGGAGGAGGAAGAGAGAAGGAGAUGGGAUGGAGCGGACGCGAAAGGAGAGAGGGGAGUGCGUGGGGGGAGGAGACGGAGAGACGAAGGAGGCCAUGGAGGAGUCGAUGGAAGAGAGGUGAAGAAAGAGGAUAACCCCCCAAAGAACGCACGCCAGACGAUAGCCAUCGUUAAAUGCCCGCCCAAUCACAAACCCAAAAUGAAAUAUAAGGGAAAUAAGGAGGGUUUAUAUAUCAAUGCUUCCGAAGGUUUAAAAAGGCAAAUUCCCUUAAAACACUCGUGUUUUCACUUUUUUUUCUUUUUUUUUUGUUUAUUCACAUAUAUUGCUCUUAUUUAAAAUAAAAUAAAAUUCUUUCUGAUCUUCGUCUCAUCGAUCACUAUCUCUCUCUGUGUCUGUCUCGUUAUGAUUAUCUCUGCCCUUUACUAUCACAUGUUGCCUUUGCAUCGUCAUCUCAUAUAAUCGCUUUUAUCCUGAAGACACUAUCACCUUCAUCCACAUUGUCAUCUCAUCAUUCGAUAAAAAUAACUCUCUCCUCUCCAACAUCGCUCAUGUUCGUUUGCUCUUUCCCUUACCUAUCUCUCCCAACAACAAGGGUGAGAGUGAUGGACAAGGGCGAUAAGGCCUCAGAACAAGAUGAAGAUAGUGUCUAACGAGGCAGAGGCUAUGGGUAAUCUCAUCUCUUAGAAAAUAAGGGACGUUCUAUAGAAAUAAAUAAAAAAAACACUCUACAAAAAGAUUGCUAAUUACAUAUUAUCCCCUGUAGUAAGACAACUUUAGCAUCUCAGUCUCUAGAUUUAUAAAAUUUAUAUUAAAAUUUUUAUAGUUAUAAAAGUGAAAUAUUUAACCUCAUUUACUCUAACGUCGUUGACUUUAUCGACGGAAGAUACAACACAUGACAAUAUAUGCAUGAAUGACACAAAAAUAAUAGAAAAAAAGUAAUUUUAAUGAUGGUACUAGAUGAUGGCGUCGUGGGGUGGCCGUUGUAGCAGUAGUCGGUGAUAACGACGACCAAUGUUGCUCCGAACAUCAACGGCGAGAAAAAAAGGAGGCAAAGCGAUGAUGCAUCAACGUCGACGCCAAAGGAGGAAGAGGAGGGAGGUGAGGCAUUUGCAUCGACACUAUACUCAAAUCCUCAUACGAUCGCUUAGAAUAGUGAUACAGUAGUUCAAGAAAGGGGUGGUGGAUGGCGACGAGGAAGAGGUUGCAAGCGAGCUCGACAAAGAGCCGCUUUCUUUGAACUCUUAAGCUUUAGUCGAUACACGAACGACGCAUAUACCUCGGCCACAACGAUGUAGUCGCCAACCUACUUUUAGAUUAGCUUCACCCACGAUUGGAGGGGAUCCAAUUUGAUAGUAAGAACUGAUCAUCGCACAAAAUGAAGGCCUGAAGAUUAUAGAUCUGAUGGUGGGAGAGACAACAAACCCUCAUCCUCAUUCUUGCUCACAUUCGACGCCAUGGUGGUAGGGGAGAGAAUAAAAAAGAUAACGGCGAUAGACACAAUGAGCGGGAAGGAGGAUAAGGGUUUGUUAUCUCUCCCAUCAUUAGAUUUAUACUCUUCAAUCAAAUCCCUCCCUUUUGUGUGGUGAUCAAUCCUCAUUAUUCAAUCAAAUCCCCUUUAGUCAUGGGCAAAGCUAAUCCGGAAGCAGGUCUACGACCACAUUGUUGUGGCAGGGUCAUAUGCAUCAUUCAAGCACUAGCUAAAUGUCAAGAGCUCAAAGUAGGCACAUCUCUUCGCAAGCUCACUCACAACCUCUCCCUUCUUCUCGUCCUCCAUUACCCCCUCCUCAAAUCCAUUGUGCCACUAGACGAAGCGAUCGUUUGAGAAUUCGAGCACAACGCUGACAUAGAUGCCUCACUUGCCUCCUCUUCCUCCUCUAGUGUUGAUGCAAAUGCAGAGCAAUGUCGGAGGAGGAAUGGGUGGCAAAGCGGUGUGGCGCUGACAUAGAUGCCUCACCUCCCUCCUGUUCCUCCUCCGGCAUUGAUGUAGAUGCUUCACCGCUCUUCCUCCUCAUCAUCGAUGUUCAUAUCGAUAUCAACAACGUCGAUCACCACGUCGUUGUCGCCGACUACCACUAUAACAACCACCAUCCACUACCACAAUUAAAAUUAUAUUUUUGCUCAUUGUUUUCUUGUUAUGUGUUGUUAUGCAUUAUAUCUUUCAUUGGUAAAGAUAAAUAUGAUUAAAUAUUUUUAUUUUUAUAACCAUAAGGAUUUAAAUAUAAUUUUUUAAGUUUAAGGUUUGAGAUACUAAAGAGAUAACUAAUAUGUAAUUAACCCAUACAAAAAAGUGAAAACAUAAAGCUUUGGGAGGGAGGAAUUGCCCUUUUAAAAUAGCAUACUCAUGCAUAUACAUUACACAUAUAUCCUUCUUUUACCAUCCUUCUACUACACUUGAGUUUACUAUUAAUUACAAGUAUCAGAGAAUUUUUUUAAAAAUAACAAAAUUAAAUAUCUAAAAUAUUCUAUAUUACUUUCAUAUGGAGUUUGUUGAUAGUUUGAAUGGCUAUUGUUUUCAUUUUGAGUUUCCACGUCUUAUAUGCCAACGAGAUCAAUUUAUAUAUACUAACUAUAAUAAUAAAUCUAUAAAUUUUACAAUAUUACAGAAGUAGAUAUGCAGUAAGCAUCAUGCAAUGCUUCCUCAUAAGUAAUUGGAUUUCACAUUGGUGCACAAUUUCUUCCAUCAUUGUACAUGCAAUAAUAAAAAAGAUUAAUUAAGAUUGCAACACAUUAGUAUCGUACAUGUCCGUAUCCUUGACAUACCGUAUGUAUUCAUUCCCAGAAAAUGUUUGGAUCUUGACAUUUGGAAUCCGCUGAAUGAUAUGCCAAUUCUGGUGGCCCCUGAGGCAGCUCUUCAGCAGCACUAAAUUGCAUUGCAACUCGAACUUGCUGAAGCUCCACUGAGCCGCCGGAGCGCUUUGCCGCUCAUCGACAAGGCCCGACAACCAGGGCGGAAGGUGCGUCAUCGUCGGUGGACAUUUCACGAACAGGUGGCGCAGUGAGUGGAGGUUCUCGACGUUCUCCAGACUCGGGCAGUCGUAGUACACCUUCAGGUACUUCACCGCGGAGAGGUCGGAUAUCCUACUCAGCAUCAUGUUAUUUGUGACCUCGAGCUUGUCAGCCAAGGGGAGAUUGGUGAUCUCUCUCAGCUCGUAAGUUUGCCGCAGGGACAGCCCCUUGAGGUUGGUAGCAUAGGACAGGCCUUGUGGGAGAGCUUUCAGCUUCGGGCAGUCCUUGAGGAGACAAUUCUUCAAAUUGGGAAGCAGCUUCGGCUGCGUUCCAUUGCCGGCUUCCUCCGCCCAGCCUAAUGACCAUUCUUCCCAUUUAGGCAUGUUGAUGAAUUGCAAGGUCUCGAGUUUGGGAAACGCCAGCGAGCUGUGACCGACGAACUCGGGCCCGAUUGUUUUGAGGGCUUUCGCCCCGCUUAUAUUGAGAAACUUCAGCUUGGGCAACGUGCCUAGGGGGGCAGCUCCAUGCACGACGGGAAGUCGGAGAGCUCCAAGAACAACAGGUCAGGGAACAAUUCGCCGAGUGAGGUUGACAUCAUCCAGCUCGGGAAUUGCCGACCAGGGAAUUGUUCCAAGGCAAGAUCUCGUAGACUCGAUGGUGGAGAGAGUUCAUUGCAUAUCUUCUCGGCUCCCUGGAUUUGCUCCUCGCUCCAUGUUGCUCCUUCGACCCGGGUGUUAUCUCCUUUGUCCUCCUCGUCUUCUCUGUCCUCACCAUCAUCCGCAUCUCCGUCGUCCUCGUCUUCAUCUUCCCCGCCUGCCGGCGGCGUCCAACCUAAAGUUAGCUCCUUAAGAAAAGGUUUCUCCGCAAGCACGGAUGCGCCCGCUACCGCCCUCUCCAGACUGGAUAUGCUCAGACAGCUUAGCUUGCAAAGAGACUGCAGCUCCUCCAAGGCACACCCCUGUCCCGGCUUCGUCGGGUCCUCAUGGCCGACGACGAAUCCUUGAAGGUUGUUAACUUUGUCCAGCUUCCUGAUCCCUUUCGGUAUGUGAGUCAGUGGAGUUUGCUCCAUAUGAAGACAUCUCAGAUUGUGCAGCCUGGUGAUGGCCAUGGGAAGCUUGCGCAAGCUUUCGCACUCAGAGACAUUCAAAGUUUGGAGGUUCGCAAGGCGGCCUAUGGAUUCCGGUAUCUCUUGUACGCUUGUUCCAUUAAGAUUCAGGUAUCUCAGAUGCAACAGAUCCCCUAUGAAAUCUGGAAUUCCCUCUAUUGAUGUAUUACUCAGAUCCAACACUCGCAGAUGUGGUAGACUUCUGAGCAAAUUCUCCUCGAUCGUCAGGGUGUUGAAGGAGUCGGCAAGAAUUAAAGUCCUCAAACACUUGUGUCUCAUAACUUCAUCAGGCAGCUCUAAUCUAUGCCCCAUUUUGGACACCGACAGCCUUCGAAUCUUCGUGUUGGUGUUUGUGGUGAACGUUCGACCAUGAACGAUAGAAAUGCCUUCUUCUUGCAUCAAAUUUGCACCGAGAGUCCGGUAAAGAUCAUGCAUCGAGAAGUAACUGUGAUCUGCGUAUGAUGGAUUCACUUGCAGAAGGCUCCUGCAAACCAGUUCCCGAUAGUACUCCUCGGCUAUGUCUUCCACCAACCGAUCUCCUUGUUUUAGAAUAAGGCCUUCGGCUACCCAAAGCCGAACAAUUUCCUUGUAGUACAGGUCGCUUUUCUCAGGGUACAGAGAGCAGUAGAGAAAGCAUUGUUUCAGAUGAGGUGGGAAGUCCUCGUAGCUCAAGUGCAAAGCCCUCGGUAAUUCUUUGUCAGUGCUGUUCAUGCUCCAUGCAUCACUUCGGAGGACGUUUUCCCACUCUGCUUUGGUUUUUUCCUUGGGACUUAGAACACCUCCCAUGGCCUUGAUUGCAAGAGGAAGGCCGUCGCACAUUUCGACUAUUCUGGUACCUGUAUCUUCCAACCCAGCGAUCUCGGCCUCCUCCCCAGCUUCAAACACUAUCUUUCGAAGCAAUUUCCAUCCACUCUCUUCAUCCAUUUUCUCCACCGGGUGGGUGUAUCUGCACUUCAUGAUUUUUGCCACGUUCACUGUUCUCGUGGUGACUAAGAUCGUACUGCUAGCUUCUCCUGUAAUUAUUGGUCUCCUGAGCAAAUCUGUCCAAACAUUUGCACUCCAUACAUCAUCCAAUACGAGAAAGAAAUUGCUCGUGAGAAGAGAUGCGAGUUUAGGUUCCAACUCUGCUCUACUUUUCCCCUUAAAGGUUUCGGCUUUAGGUUCACCUCCUUCGGAUCUUUCUGCUACACACCUAAUUAGCUCCUUGAGCAGAUCGGUGUCGGAAUAAUUUUUGGGGACGUACAACCAUUUUCUGAUGGGAAAGUUAUCUUUGAUCCUUUCAUCGUUGAAGAUUUUACGUGCCAGAGUGGUCUUACCGAUUCCACCCAUCCCAACAAUCCCAAAAACACGACACUUUUGUUGGUCUUCCUCGAGUAUGCGACCGAUGAGAUUCUCUGCGGCAAUCUCGAUUUGUGCCCCGACAAUGUCCCCCUUGACUUCCAAGUGAGAUGUCGCGUGUGAGACUGUUUCGUAGAUUUGGGGCACUUGGAUUGUGAGCUGCAGUGUAGAUAUUAUGGCGUUAUCCUCUGCCAUCUUCUUCAGCCGAUCGUCAAGUGCUCUGAUUCUGCCUGCGAUUUCAUGGCGGUAUUUGGCGCACCGAAAGCAGGAAGAAACAAAGCGGAGAGGAGAGCUUACUGCGGAGGCGGAUCGCGGAGCCUCCAACAAUCUUCCACCUUCCAUCAUGCAGAGAUCCAUAACGUCGUCGGCGUCGCACAUGACAUCUUUCAGCUUCCUCACCCAGGCAUCGAUGGCGGCACUGUCAUGCCUCUUCCGAUCUGCAUCUUGAAGAUAAACUUUGAUGGUUUCCAGCCUCCGGUGAAGCGUUUCGAUCUCCUUCUUCACGCCGAGAACCUCGCAUACCUCUCUCUCAACGAAGUCUGCGAUUUCUCCGAUAUAUCUCGUGACAAAGAAAUUGAGGAUCAUUGCCAUUGCUCGACACCAAGAUGAAGUCUAGACACUUAGAAAUUGGAUGUGUUUCGAGUGGCGCAGAGCACAACGUCUCCAAACAUUGACCGCGAUCUGCCAUGUCGUACGAAAACAUAUUUAUAACCAUAAACAUAUGCACACUUGGCAUUGCAUUUUGGAUUUGUCGGCGGGGCUAUUUUUUAGCCUAGUUUUUUAUUUUAUUUUUCUAAAAAAUAAAUGAUGAAGAACGUUCUCCAACAUUAAUCUUAUCCAACUGUUGAAUUGACUCCCCUUGUGGCAUUGCUACAUCAAAUAAACAAGAAUAUACUGAAUCCAAAUGAGACCCGCAACCAAACAUGCGUUUCGCAUUGACGUACAUAAAUUCACUUGCGUGAUUGUAUGUACCCAUCAACAAGAUGGAAGAUUACAACAUUUUCUUCUCUGAUGUGGGUGGUUCGAUCCAAUGACACAGGUUUCCUUCUAAUCGUGUCUUUGCUGAGCUUGACUGCCUUAGAGAAGAUGGCGUGACGAGCGAUCUACCCAACGCCACCGGCAGAGCCAUCAACUUCUUUGCUUUGCUCGCAGAAGCGCGCUUCGUGAAGUUGUUGUAGUCAUUCGCUUCGAUCUCGUCGAGGAUCUGCUGAUGCAACAGCAGAGAAGCCCAAACCUUGCAUCGGGUAAUGGCAAAUAGUUCAUCGCUAUGACAGUAAGGAAAUCAAUGAAACACAUCGAUCUUACCAGCCAUCUACUGGCUUGAUUGAGCUCGCUCACACCAUCUUCUGCUGCUCUGAAGAACAUCCUCGCCCUCUUAAUCUGGUUCUUCAUGAAGCUCCUCCAUUUGUCCGUCACCUUGCCGUCGAAAAUCUCGUCGUCGGACAGCCCAAACCGAGCCAGCUCAUCCUGCGGCAGAUAGAUCCUUCCUCUUCUAGCACUGAUCGAUAAAUCACCCGUGAGUUGAACGCAUGCAGAGAGAAGAGAGGCUGGUGGAUCAUGACUCACUCUUCGCCGACGUCCCCGUGUAUGUUAGUGAGCUGGUUGGCGAUGCCCAAAGCCAAAGCAGCCCUGUAAACGCUCUCUGCCGUCGCCUUCGACUCGGGAGCGCUUCCCAUGACAGGGACGCUCAUCAGUCCAACAGUUCCCGCGACGUAAUAGCAAUAAAGAUAGAGUUCGUCGAAGUUCUGAUAUCUUGGCAUGUUCAAAUCGAUUCGCAUUCCUUCGAUCAUGUCCCUGAACGGCUGCAACUGGAAACAAGAACACUGUUACCGUCAAGCACCAACGAAACUGAUGCAUAUGCACACAGUCGAUGCACUUCUAUAUGGGUUGGAGACAUGCCUGGAUAUCAACAGGGUACUUCGAGACAGUAUCAGAAAGAGCUGCAUCGAGCAUGUCAUAUGGGCAGCCUGCAAAGACAUCCUCCAGCCUCGACUCCCACCUGUCCAACGCUGUCGGUGUGAUAUGGGAAGCAUUUGGCCCAUCCACAAGCUCAUCUGUUCUUCUGCACCACACUGAAACAUGAUUGCGUCACUUAGCAGUUCAGUUCAGUGGCGUGUAAUGAAACUUUAACUUAUUAGAGCUAGUAAUUCUAUCAAGAAUUUACCAUAUAUUGCCCAGAUUGCUCUCCUCCUCUCAGGAGUCAGGAGCAGUGUUCCUACAAAGAUGCAUGAAAAUUUCAUGUCUGAAGAAUCAAGACCAUCUCUUCAUGAUUUGUCAUGCAGACCAAAAAAUGUAUAUGAUCAAGUAAUUGGUAUGAGAGCUAACCCAGCUAAAAGGUCUUGGCGUACUCUCCACAUACUUCUCCACACGUGUCAUAAGCCUCCUUCAGCAAGCUCAAAGAUCCAGGGAUCGCCAAGUCCGGCUUCACAUCGAGAGCAGUAGUUAACGCCAGCUUCUUCUUCACCAGGGAUGACUGCUUCAGAAUCACAUCGUAAACCUUCUGCUCCAAAGAGACUGCAGCCUCUGCUGCUGCUGCUGCUGCGCUGGUCACCAGGCUCGAUAAUGGAGGCGGCAAACCCAUGGUGUUCUCCGGCUCAAACUCCACGCAUGCGUACUUCGAAUCAGCAUAGAGUGAUUGCAGACUCCAUCUCCGCCUUCGUCUCGGCGUAAAGACCUUUCCCUGUGACCGAUCUCCUUGUCGAACCGCUUCAGUAAAUCCAAGGCCAACAGAUAUAUCUACAGGCGCGAUCGCCGGCAACAACAUGAGUGCCAUCUUACAAGACCACAGAGCACAAGAAUGCCUCACGAUCUCUUCCUUCGAUGCAUGGAGUAGAGCGAUCAAACAUCAAAGGUGGAAAUCCAGAUAAAGACUGGCUAAGCAGCACUCAGCAGAUGGCUUAAGAAGGAGCGCUCUGUUCAAGAAGGUGUAAUCCGCUGAACCAUCCAAAACGCGCACGAAGAUUCUAUAACACUGUGGAAUGCACCGAAGAAUCUAAGAGUUCAUGGAACCAUUAACCCUUUACUUUCACUGUCAGCACCCGGAGGAGGCUCCUUUCAUCCGCUUGAUCUGACCUCAACUUUGACCGCGAGAUAGGGUUAUCACGGAGAUGGUUUGGCGGCGAAUGAGCAGGGAACACGUGGAGGUGAAAUCUGGGGCGGCGUGAGUGACCGUCGUGUUGGACGGGUAGCAUUGCCACAUGGUCGCCGUCGACACGCGGGCGACCCGCGUGGUAGUCGAUCGACGCGUGGCAAUGGGAGUGAUGCGGGACCCGCUUUGACUUGGGCGAGUGACGUGGAAGGUGCGGUGGGGCGGCGGACGUGUGUUGCCCUACGCAGUUCUCGUACUGUUUAUAUACAAUCAUCACGGUCUUCUUUGUGUGCACGCAUUAAUUCAAACUCAGAAGUCGAAAUUAAUUUUAAAUGUUCCACUUACCUAAAUGGUGGAAAGAUGGCACAGUCUUUUGGUGACUGUUAUUUUUUUAUAAAUGACCAUGAUAAUAGAUAAAUAGAAAAAUAAAUAUAGUAUAAUAAUUUUAUAUUUUUAUAUAUUCUAAUCUUUAAUUAAUUUAUGAUUUAAUAAUAAUCAUAAAUUUAAAUAUAUGAUUUAAACAUAUGAUUAAUUUUUUUUAUAAUGUAUAAAUAUAUAUUUCCUUAUUAUAAUAAAUUCUUCAAAGCAUUCUUGUUUUAAGCAAGACUCAUUUUCUUCGUUAUCUUCCUGAUAUAACUAUUGUCAUUUCUCUUCCUCACUCUCCUUAUUGUUGUUUUAAGAUUAUUAGUUUUUGCUUCUCACUUUUGAAUUUUAUCAUUGAACCAAAGAUAAAGACACAUGGCUCUUCUCUAUUGAUCUCUUAGAGCGAGUCAUUUAUACUAGAUUUACUUUACUUUGUUCAUAUAAUCAAUCUCUUCUUGUGUCCGAUUAGCUUUUUCAGCUAUCCUUCAUUGUUGUAUACUUGGUGGACAUUUCCUCUACUCCUACCUAUUAUCUAGUAUUUUCACUAGCAUCCUUGUCACCUUCUUGUCAACUGUCAAACUCAUUGGUGUGUAAGAUCCAUGUUAGAAUUUUUAGGAUCACACAUGUAUAAUUAAAUAUGUUAAAUCAUUAUUUUGAUUAGUCAAAAUUAAAGUGAUCUAAUUAAAAUAAAAUUAUUUAGAUAAGGGGUAUAGUUAUUAUGAAAAUUAAUUAUGUGGAUACCAUCAGUUAUAUUUUUAACUUAAUGAUGAAACAAGUUAGGAAUAUGAAACAUCCUGACUUUAUAACGAGACAAGUUAGGAAUAUGAAACAUCUUGGGGCAUUUCUAUAAAUAGGGUUGUGGUCCCCGAUUGUAGUAUCAAUUUUUCAGAUUUCUCUUCACCCGUUAAAGAGAAAUAAAAAGUUCUUUGAGAUACUAAGCAAUUGGAAGUCUAAUUCACCAAUUAAACCAAAAUACUCAGAUGGAUUCAUCUUCUGUGUUAAUAUGUUUCGUAAUUAUUAUAGGAUUUCAUGUAUAUUAUUAUGGAUUUCCAUGUUAAUAUGUUUCGUAAUUGUUAUAGGACUAUGAGAUUCUAUCCCAAUAGACACAUCCUUAUACACCUCAGCUCAAUAAUGUAUCUGAAAGGAGGAAUCCUACAUUGUUAGACAUGGUGCGGUCCAAGAUGAGCUUCACCGACCUACCCAUCUCAUUCUAGGGAUAUGCCUUAGAGUUUCAAUUAAGUCGGUAGUAUCUUUAAGUUGUUAAGAUGUGAAAAGAAAAGAAAUCCGAUCUUAAGGUUGUUAAGAUUUGAGGUUGCCCUACUCACGUUAAAAGAUAUAACCCGAUAAGUUGGAAUUCAGGGCAGAGCGGUGCAAGUUCGUGGGAUACCCCAAGGAAUUUAUGGGUAUUAUUUUUAUCAUCCCGAGGACCAAAAGGUCUUUGUAGCCAAGAGAGCGGUGUUCUUUGAGAAGGAACACAUUCUUGGAAGAGACAAUGAGAGUAUGAUAGAGUUAAGCAAGGUUGAAGAACCUAACUCAAGUACCAAUCUACAACCCAAGUAUAUUCAAGUACCUAGUACACAAGUUUCAACUUUACGUAGGUCCAACAAAAUAUCUCAUCCUUUUGAGAGAUAUGUGGGACAUAUUAGAGGAGAAGAUGUUGAGAAUAUUGAUCCUCAUACCUACGAGGAGACUAUUACGAGUAUAGACUCCGGGAAGUGAUAAAAAACCAUAAAUUCUAAGAUGGAUUAUAUGUACUCUAACAAGGUUUGGAACGUAAUUGAUGCACCAGAGGGUAUUACACCCAUUGGUUGCAAAUGGAUCUUGAACAAGAAGAUCAGAGUAGAUGAAAAGAUAGAGACCUAUAAAGUAAGGCUAGUGGUUAAUGGAUAUCAUCAAAGAUAAUCUAUUGACUAUGACGAAACAUUCUCACCAGUAGUCAUGCUAAAAUUCAUUCGAAUUCUAUUGGCUAUUGCAGCACAUUAUGAUUAUAAGAUCUGAUAUAUGUAUAUGAAAAUCGCGUUCCUCAAUGGCAACCUCGAGGAGGAGGUGUAUAUGAUACAGCCUGAGGGAUUUAUAUCCAAGGACUGCUCAGAUAAGGUGUGUAGGUUUCUUAGGUCCAUUUAUAGACCGAAGCAAGUUUUCCGAAAUUGGAACAUAAGAGUUAAUGAGGCAAUUAGAUCUUAUGACUUCGUUAAGAAUGAAGAUGAGCCUUGUAUGUACAAGAAGAUAAGUGAGAGCGCUAUCACCUUCUUGGUGUUAUAUGUGGAUGACAUCCUGAUCAUUAGGAAUGAUAUAGGAAUGCUAUCUACAGUAAAGAGUUGGUUAUCUAGACACUUCUCCAUGAAUAACUUAGAGGAAGUAUCAUAUAUCUUGGGGAUUCGAAUAUAUAGAGAUAGAUCCAAAAGAAUGCUUAGCUUGUCCUAGUUUAGGUACAUAAACACCAUUGUCAAAAGGUUUGGUAUGAGAAAUUUCAAGAGAGGUCUCAUAACGAUGAGACAUGGGAUAUCGCUUUCUUUGAGUAUAUCUCCAACGACUCAUAAAGAAAUUACAAACAUAGAUAGGAUACCCUAUACCUCAGCAAUAGGGUCUAUCAUGUAUGUCAUAUUAUGUACCAGGUCUGAUAUAGUGCAUGCUUUGCAGUAAAGUAUAUCGUUAAAUACUUGCGAAGGACUAAGGAUCUUUUACUAGUAUAUGAAGGUAGUAGCCUCAGGGUUGAAGGCUAUACAGACUCAAGUUUCUAAUCUAAUGUUGAUGAUAGUAAGUCACUUCGGGAUAUGUGUACACUAUGGAUAGAGAAGCAGUAUGAUGGAAGAGUUCCAAGCAAGAUACUACUAUUGACUCAACCACAAAUAUGAAGUACAUUACUGCAAUAGAGGCAGUAAAUGAAGGAGUCUGGAUGAAUAAGUUUAUUACAAAUUUGGGAGUUGUGUCGGGCAACAAGAAGCUAAUUCCAUUAUAUUACGACAACAACGAGGCAAUUGCUCAAGCAAAGGAACUCAGGUCCUAUCAGAAGUCUAAGCACAUUCUGAGGAGGUUCCAUAUGAUUAGAGAGAUCGUGACCCAAGGAGAUAUAGUAGUGGAAAGAGUUCCAUCCGAAGAUAACAUCAUAGAUCCACUAAUAAAGCCAUUGUCUCAGAUGAUCUUUGAGCGUCACAAGGGUCUGAUGGGGAUCAAAUAGAUAGGUAAUUAACUUUAGGUCAAGUAGGAGAUUGCUAGUCAUAGGUGCCAUACAAGCUAAUCAUGUGAGUGAUGACACAUGUGACAUGUUACAUAUUCUUUUUGCUCAUUAUAUUAUUUGAUAUUUUAUCACUUUAUAUUGCUUAUUGCAUAUAUGCAUAUACAUAUUGUGAUAUCUAUGGAUCUGUGCAAUAAGAAUCGAAUCGUGAUGAGAUCAUGAUAAUAAGAUCGGUUCGCCUUUAAACAUAGAUCCUAAAUAAUCCUAGUCAUAGGUUACUCGAGAGGGACAUCGAGAUAACUUGACAUACUAGUAUGUUAUAUACCCGUUCAUAUGAUGGAGACAGUUGGUCUCAUAGUUACUCAUGUAGAGACACUAGGGAUACAGUGCAAGUGCUCAUUGGAGAAUGAGUUUACUGAUUGAUCCGCUUACGGAAUACUAAAUGGUUAAUGAUACCUCGUUGUUAGACAAUAAUUCUGUUAUCCCAAUAGUAUAUCUGGUUCUUAGAUUUAGAUACCAAGGAGUUGUAGCCAAUCUUACGAGGGCUAUUGAGUGUCAAUAAAAGAUAAUCUGCUCUCGGUGUCAUGAGAAAAAUAUCUCAUGUGUUCUUGCUCAGAUAAAUCCUUGGCCAAGGUCUUUCGGAUUGAGCGAGAAAGUGUUCUCGGGGAAAAUCCGAUCAGAGCGAGACUCGAGUAAAAACUGUAUGGGCAUGAUAGUACUAUGCCCGGUAUACAAUCUCCGAGAUAUUAGAUUGAUAAGAGACUAUAGAUAUACCAUAACUGAGGAUAAACAAUUCUAAUAGAUUGGAUUCCCUUGUAUCGUCAAAGGAUUGCGACGUAGUGGUCUAGUACAUUUGAAAUCGAUGAGUCGAGUGAAUUAUUAUGAAGAUAAUAAUUUAUUGAGCCAAAAGAGGUUCUGACAUAUAUGAUUCAUGGCCAGUUCAAUAUUAGGCAUAAAGGGUCACACACAUAUGAUAGGCGUUGCGAUAAAUAAAUGUUUGAAUAUGAAAUAUCUACCGGAGCCCAUAUCUUAUUGGAUAUCCAAUAAACCCUUGAAUUAUUGGGUCAUAUGGAUGAGAUCAAAUAAGAGCCAAUGAGAGAUUAUUAGAUAAAGAUUCACUAAUCUAAGAGGCUUGGGUAGUUGGAUGAAGAUCCAAUACCUAAUAUGGCAUGAUCCAUUAUGGUUAAGUUGAUAGGGGCCCUCUAUAAAUAGGAGGGAACCAAAGACUUAUAGGCUAGAGGUCUCUUGGUUGCCACCUCCUAUUCUCCUCUUCCCUUCUCCUCCUCAGAUAGCAACCCAGAGAUUUAAGGAGCAUCGUCUCGCAGCCCUACUAAGUGGAUCACCGCUAGAGAGGAGGGCGUUUGACUUCCUUCAUCCUCUCAUACAAAUCUGUAGGGAUUCAGGGAUAUGCAAUCUCCCUAGGUAAAACACAAUAUUUCAUAUGCGCAGUUUUCAGUUUUGUGGAUUUUGCGCAUCAAUCUUUUCACGAUGACGAAUAUAAUUUUGAGGAUUUUUAUUUUUUGUUAUUCCGCUACGCAUGUGAUGUCACCUCUAGAUUUCCUUACAAAUUCACUAAUCUUUUCUUUGGAUAUGAUUUAUUAGGCUAUAUUAAUGACUCUCUUAGUUAUCUAUCAAUAAAUAUCAAAAUAUCAAGAGAACCCAUCCCAAUGGAAAAUCCAGAUCAAAAGUUAUGGCUACAAUAAGAUUAUCUCAUUCUACAAGUCAUUCAAGCUUCAAUUGCUGACUCCAUAGUAUCACUAAUCUCUUCAUGUAACACUAUACCAGAAGUAUGAUCCAAGUUACAAACCACCAUCGUCAAUCGUUCUUGUACUCGUAUGCUAAGUUUUCAUUUACUCUAACUAAAAUAAUAUAAGAGGAAGUACUAUUGCUAAUUAUAUAUAAAAUCUAAAAAUUAUUAUAAAUGAUUUAACUUUAAUAAGUCAUCUCUGAGAAGCAAUUGUUAAUACUCUCAAUGGCCUAGAAGAUAUUCAAGGAACUAGUGAUAACAAUUCAAGCACGCGACUCAUCAAUAUUAUUUGAAAAACUAUAUGAUAAGUUGAUUAAUUAUGAAACAUGUCUGAAAUGAGAAGAGAGGAAGACAUGAUCAACUAUCACAACUCAAUUUAAUAAAAAAAUCUAAAGAAAAAAUAAACAAAAUAAUAAGAACUUUAAUAAAAAGAUUAAAUAGUAUGCCUCCUUGACACGUGGGUAACGCACAGAGCUAUCAUCCUCCAUUAUUAUCUCUCCAACCAUAGUAGUAUCUUUAACCCAAACAACUAAAAAGAUAACUUCAGCUAUAACUAUCAGUAGUUCUAGCAUCCCUAUAAUAAUAAUCAGCAAAAAGUCAUCUAUCAACUCUACGAAAAAAUUGGACACAAAGUAAAAGUCUAUUGAUCUCGACCCAACCCUAUUGCUAUACCGAACCGACCUUAAGCAAAUAUCAAGAUUACUCUGACUACUUAUCCAAGCAAUAGAUUGUUACUCUGAUUCUUCUCAUUAUAUCAAUUCUAAUUUAUAGAAUUUAUCUAUCUACAUUGACUAUAGAGACAAUGAAGACAUCAUCAUUAAUGAUGGUAAUGAAAUCCCUAUCAUUCAUACUAAUUUUAUAACAUUUCAUUCACACACAAAGACUUUUACACUUGAUUAUGUUUUGUGUGCAAAUCACAUCAAAAAAAUCUUAUUUUUAUUUCUUAAUUCUAUAAAUAAAAUAAUACAUAUAUUGAAUCAUUUCCCAACUAAGGAAGCUAGAAUAAAGAUAACUAAUCGUUAUUGCUUCAGUUGCUACUCUAAAUCAAUGCGUGGCAUCAUUGUCUUAAUCAAAUAUCAUCUUUUAUUCAAUAACAACUAAUUUCUCAUUACUUUAUUUUAAUUUUCAAAUCAAGUAUAAUUAUAACUCAUUGUGAUACUUGCCUUAGUAAUAAAAGUCACAUACUACUUUUUAGAAUGCCUUUCAAAUCAUACUCUAAACUACUUAUAUUGAUGUUUAAGACCUUACUCCAACCAUUUUCUUUAAUAAUUUUAGAUUUUAUAUCAUUUUCGUAGAUUACUUCACUAAAUAUACAUGAUUAUAUCAUCUCAAAUAUAAAUAUGAAGUCAUCGUAAUCUUUACCAAUCUUAGAAAGAUAGUCAAGAACUUCUUCCAGUCUAUCAUUAAAAUAGUUUACUCUAAUAAAGGAGACGAAUAUUAAACUCUAACACCUUAUAUCUCAUCAUAUGAUAUUUAAUAUCUUUAGUCGCCACCUCACUCUCCACUAUUGAGUCACUCAAAUUAUAUGACGAUAACCUUACUACGGAUCCCACACAAUAUCGAUAUGUACUUGGUUUUUUAUAAUAUUUAUCUCUUACAUAUCUAAAUAUUAUAUUUGUAAUCAACAAAUCAUCACCGGUCAUCCACCAUGCAUUGGUUUAUACUAAAACAUGUUUUAUGAUAUUUUAAAGGGACUCUUAAUCAUGGACUUUUUCUUCGUAAACACUCAUCAAUUCAUCUUUAUACCUUUAUCGGUGUUGAUUCAGUAGGUAAAACUAAUGAUAUAACAUAUAUAUUGGCCUACACUGUCUUCCUUGCAAAAAAAUCUAAUCAAUCGAAGUUUUAAAAAAUAAAAUAUAAUUGCAAGAUCCACCACUACCACCACUAUUGAAGAACUUGAUUGGAUUACUAAUCUGCUAUACAAACUUGACAUCACCUCCCAAUCCAUGCCUAUAAUAUACUAUGAUAAUAUCAAUGCUACCUACUUAUAUAUCAACUCGGAGUCCUACUCAUGCAUAAAAUGUUUUAUCAUCAACUUUCACUUUGUUAGAGAUCAAGUUGUCAAACGUUAAUUGUGUGUUCCUUUAUCUCACAACAUCUCUUAUCCGUAAGACAUUUCAAUUACAUCAGUCUAAAAUUGGUAUCAUCGAUGAAAGCUUAAUCUUGAAAGGACAUGAUAAAAAAUCAUAAUAUAGAUAAAUAUAAAAUAAUAAAUUUAUAUUCCUUAUAUAUUCUAAUACUUAAUCAAUAUAUCAUCAGAUGAUCAAUCACAUAUUAAACAUAUGAUUUUAAUGCAUGAUCUAAGUACAUAAUUAAAAAAAAAAUCUCUCACAUAAUUUAUAUAAAUAUAUAUUAUCUUAAUGAAUAAAGUUUUUUAUAAUACAUUUUUAAUUUUUAGAGGAUGAUGAUGUUUAAUGAGGUAAGGAGUGUCAUCAGGGUGAUGGUAGGAAAAGAUAGUGUAGAAAUAUAAGGGACAUUCUUCUUGUAACAAGUGCCAGGUUCUCUACCGAUCUGAUCGAACGCAUGCACACAUACAUCUGCAUGCAGAACACGUCGGCUUUUCCUGAUUAAAGCAAUUGCAGUCCUCUGUUUCCCUCGUAAGAGCCGUAUGUCAUAUGCUCACCAUCAGACUGUUGCAUGCACAUAGAUCAGUGAAGACUUCAAGAAGCAGACAGAAAUUUAAAACAAAAACAACGAUUAAUAUAAAAAAAAAGAAAAAAAAAUUGUCUGUAAAGACUAUCACCUGCGGCUAAUUAAUUAGCUAUGGGAUUUAAAAGAUAAAACCAGCCAAGAUAGAGCUCAACUCCACUGUCAUCAAGCUUGAUGAGCUACUUACUUCUACUAAGUUCAGUUACACUUGUUCUAUUGCAGUCUCCCGCCUCGUGACUUCAUCUCUGUGUCCAUGGAUCUCAUUCCAAUGCCAAGAUGCUGUUCCCUCUCCUGAACUCCUCCCACCAUGUUUCUUCUAAUCAUGCUGUCAACACCAAGAAAGUCUCUUGUUGAUCUGUCCGAGCCUCCGAUGCCUCCGGCCGAUAGGUUGCUGCGCAACCCGUCCUCGCCCAUGUUCCCCAGACCUGGGUUGAAGCCACUGAAACCAGCCACUUGGUCACUAGCAAGGGAGUUCAUGAUGUCAUGGAAAUGGUUCUCCACAUGAGCUCCUGAGCUCUGUCUACUUCCAUCGUUAACACCAGAUGUGUAGCUGUGGUACGAGGUACCGAAACCUCUAAGCAAUGAGCUGCCGUUGCCACCGCUCCACGUUGUGGUCUUCUGAAGCAGUGAUGUUGCUGAUAUCUGCGGCUGCAUACAUGAGUUAUACAGAGAAGAUAUGUUUGCGUCAUCGUUAAUGUGAUUACUCGUGAGGUCUCCGGCGAACAGCGUCAUCGGCUCCGUGCCUCCACCUGCACUAUUGAGGGCAUUCGUGCUACCGCUGCCGGAGAAGAAGCCAAGAUUGAAAGCGUUGACAGCGGCCGCAGCAGAAGAGGAAGAGGCAUCGGCCACUGUUUGGAGAUCUUGGAGUUGCAUCAUGCCACGGAAGGGCUUGCUUUGAGGCAGCUGCGGGUCCUCAUCGAAACCUUGGUUAGAUCCACCACCGAAGUAGAAUGAGGACGGGUGAUAUGUCUGAGGCUGCCGAGAGGUGGUGGCGCCGAUGUGAUCCGCACCGCUAUUUCCCCGCAGGAGGAGGAGAUCGUUGGAAGGUUGAGCUAAGGAUGAGAAGUGCGACGUUAUGCCUCUGUUUGGGUACAACUGGCCGCCGAUGGCGUGCGCGCCGGUCGGAAUCCUUGCGUUUUCUUGUGCUAAUGCAUCACAGAAGGCUCUGUGGGUGACGAAGCUGUCUCGCCUGCAUUGGUUUCCAGCAAGUCAUAAGAGCUCAGUUAAUCUCAUCUCACAGUGAUGAGGAAGAAUGCAAACCUUUUCAGUUCAAGAUUAGUUCUUUACUUUGUUCAAGAGUUCCAAAUGAAGGUUACUGGCCAAUUCUUUUCCUAAGACAUUCAUGAAGUAUACGUAUAUGUAUGUAUAUGUAUAUAUAUACUCAAAAGAAGAGGUAAGGUGUCAGAUGUUACCAGGCAAAAGGUAUAGCAAGAGGAGAGAAGAACGAUAAAGGAGAGUCUAAUUAAAGGAAAACCCCAUUCUUAGGACCGACACAUCAAUCAAUGCAAUAAGGGCAUAUUUUGCAGCAAAUGUGCAACCCAACAAUUCCAUCCAUAAAUAACCUCUUCAUUUAAUGCGGAACCCAUAUAUGAGCUCAUUCCAAAACCAUGAAAGCUACUUAAUCUUCUCUACCCACUCAAUCCAACCUUAUGAAUUGGUGUGGACCUGAAAAGCCAAGCCAUGCCAAUUGCCCACAUAUCUCCAAAUCGAAAGCCAACAAAUCAACCUGAUAAACUUUGCCUCCAUGUCACCACGUGAACACAAAGGAGAGAGAGCGAGGCGAUGGUUCCCAUGAGAAACUGGAUCUUGAAACCGAUCCUAGCCCUAACUAAAGGAACAAUAAUCGGCAUCACCGGAGCGGAGGCUGUUUGUGGUGUGUGGGAGCAUGUAAUCCAGUGCAAUAUGGUGAAGGUUUUGAGUGCUUCAAGGAAUGGACGCAUGCAGGCGGUACCUGGAGAAGAGAGUGCCGCAGUCGCAGCGGUACUCGCGAGUGCCGCAGAUCUUGGAAUGGGCCUUCCAGUCCGACUGCACGGCGUAGCGCUUGGAGCACUUGUCGCACUUCCACCGCUUCUCGCCGUGCUUGCGGCAGAAGUGCUUCUUGAUGCCGGUGAGGUCCCCGAGGGCCCGCGACGGGUCGUGGUGGGCGCAGGUGGGCUCCGGGCAGAGGUACACGCGGCGGCGGACCUCGUCCGGGUUCUUCUUCUUCAGCUUCCACGGCAGGUUGUGGCCGCGCCGGUGCAGCUGGAGGUUCUGCUCCCGCUGGAACCCUUUGUUGCAGACCUCGCAGGUGAAGCGGUUCGUGGCCAUCAGUGUUUUGGGUGACAAAGCUAUUACCUCCGCAUCCGUAUCUGUAAUUAAGAUGGAACGUACAAUCUAUUCCUCAUACUUGACAUAUAUGGAAGAUGAAGCUGAAGGAAAAGGAACCCACAUACUUCAUGCACAAGACCUACAUAUGAGAGAGAGAGAGAGAGAGAGAGAGAGAGAGAGAACAAAAGAUCCCUCUCUAAAAACAGGAUUUGAAGAGAGGGAAUAAGAGAAAGGAUCGAAUAACGAGGGGAAGUUUAGGUACUUGCAUGGUUUUCCAGGGAGGUUCCUCUUCUUCUUCUUCUGAGGAACAGCAGCCGACGAGCUUGGCGUUGCCGAUGAUGAUCGCUGCUGCAGCGGCGGGUGUGGCUUUUGGUCGCUGCAGUGCUCUUCCUCCAUGAUACCGAGGAACAUCAGAUCUUUGUAGGUCAACCCUGGUUCCUUCUUUUGGUCUGUGGUAAGAUCAGUUACUGGUCCGAAUCAGUGGCGCAGAAGAAAGACUCACUACCCAACAUGAAUCCAUCAUCUUCCGUUUUGUUCUUUCUGUCAUUAGGCAUCUCAAUCUUCCACAAGUCUCCUGAAAACCUCCGGCCUCCCUCCUCCAAAUCUAAAGACAAGAAAGCUACCAAAGAAAGGAAAACAAUGAGAGGAAAACCCAAACACCGGAACAUGAAGAGUAGUAGUGGAUGUAGGCACGCAUAACAAUCCUCUCUCCCGACUCUUCCCACCUCUACUAAAGAACAAAGGACCCUGGCAGCAGGCCAAACCACCAGUUGGCUCAGGAACGAGCAGGCGGGGACAGAGACAGAGAGGAAACCGAGAAGAUACCCUUCGUCUCUCUCUGAAGGAAGAGAGGAGCAGCAGCAGCUAGCUAGCGAAGGCAGAGGAAGAGAGCAACUCUUUCUUCUUCUGCGGCCGAGGCUGGCUUUCAGAUAUAUCUGAGUUACUUGUCACGCUUUUCCUUCUCUCUCGUCUUCCCUAUUCUUCCCUGAUUCCUCACCCUUUUACACCACGAAAGCGAAGAAUUGGAUAGAUAAUUACACGAACAGGAGGAGAGACAAAGGAAAGCAAAGCAAAGCAGAAUGUUGCUGUUGAUGGUGUCUCGCCAAGGCAAGUGUGUCGCUAUGUGGCGAGGGUUGGGGCCCAGCCACCGUAGCGCUUCCCCCUUCCCUACCUCAUGCUUUUGUUUCUUCCUCUCGUGAUCACGACAAAACCUCAACCAUAUUACACCCUCACAGUAUAAGGCCCCGUAAAAGGUCAGCCUCCUCCAAAUCCAAUAAGAUUCACUAAAAAUCUACAAAAAGAGAAAACAAUUUAGUAGAUAAAUAUAACGCAAGAGAAAAAGGUACCGCAAUCGAGAUUACACAAAUAUAACUCAGCAAAAGAAUCUGAAAUAGACAUAUAAUAUAAUAUAUAUGUAUAUAUAUAAAUAUAAACAAAUAAAGAUUUGAUGUUGAUAAUGCAUGAGCAAGUUUUAUCUUCAUUUUCUCCUUGAGAGUUCUAAUGGGACAAGGAAGGCAAAUAAAUAUAUGGGAUUAAUCUUACUUCUCUUGUCUAACUUAACUCACACAUCAACCAAUUCCAAUCUUUUUGUUAACUUCUACAUGAAUGCAUGUUUACUAUUAAAGACUAUCACAUUAAAAGUGUAGGUAAGAAACAUCUAAUUGCACUUGUCUUUUUCUCUAUCCCUUCUACUCGUUAUUACGUACAAGAAAACAAAGAAAAAUCUAGAUAUGCCGGGAGAUAAAGUCUCUUUUUCUUGUGGGGUCUCAAUGCGACUAAAAGAUGCCAUAGAGAUAUGGACAUAUCAAAUGACAUAUUUUGGCACUAUUUAUAUAGCUUGAAAAACUAUGCCUACGGUGAAUUAUGUGUCGUAGAGAACAACAAGACUUAAAAGAUUCGACCGAGAAGAUGGUUUUGGCCGUCCAUUUGUCACACUAAUAGGCCGUAUUUGAAAUUGAAAUUGUAUUUCCCACUUGUGAUGGGAAGAAGAUUGACGUGAGUCUUUUGGUAGGGUGAAUACUUACUUUACAUCGCAAUACGUGGUCCUUAAAUUAGGUCAAAUCUCCUUACGACCAACCCAUGCGUAUGUCACAUCCAUACCAAAUCUCCACAUGAUAUAUUACCUCGGUAAUUUCAGAAUACGAUUAUGAUCGACUCGGUAUAAGUAAAAAAAAUGAAUAACUUAUAAUAUCGGAAUACUCGUGACGUACUUGAAGUAUUAUAAAAAUGGUGACCUUCUCUUCACCAUUUUUUUACUUUGUGUUGUAGGUUUCAGUGUCACCUUAUAAGUAUUUAUAAUGGCACAAAUUAUAUCUAUUAGAAAAAAAUAUAUAUUGACAUGAUUCAGAUUAUGCAUACAAGAUUAUCUAAGAUACCUCUAAGAUAAAAACAUUGAGCUUCCAAAGUAUCACUCUAUAUGAAGAUCGAGAUUGAGAGAGAUUUCUCGAUCUGAUCCCUUCGAUAACCAGAUUAGUAACCCAAAAUAAAUGAGUGCAGUUGCUAAUGAUAAAAAAUUAUUUUUAUUAUAUUAAAAAUAAGUUUUUAUACCUGAAAAUAUGAUAUAUUUUUUGAGAUGACAUCGGUAGAGACAACCUAUUAUAACUAUUUAUUUUCAACCUAUAUUAUUGAUAAAAGAUAACUUUUAUAUUAUAGGAAGAUACGAAUGAUGAUUGAUCAAUAAUAUUCUUUCUAUUAAUAUCUUUUCAACAAAAGAGCCAAGUCACAUUAAACUCGAUAUCCUAAGUUGAUAAUCAAAUUUGACAUUAUCGACUUUUAAAUUAAUUAUUUUACAAAGUAGAGUCGACCUAUUUUUUCCUUUAAAAUUAUACGUACACCUUUCAAAGUUGAUUUUUUUAUUUAUCUUUUCAAAAUUAAAUUCAUUAGGUAAAACAUAAGAACUCGUUGGUAUGUCCAUAUACUGUCCUCAUUGUUGGUCGAAACUGUAAUUGAUACUAUAUACUUUCAAAACUUAAUUGUAAUGAUAAUUAAUAUAUAUACACAUAUAUAUAAAGUAGUAGUUAAUAUUAACAGUUAUUAGAGAUUGAUGCAAACGAGAAGAAAAGAUUAUAUAGUCCAUUUGGCAAUACAAUAGAAUAGCUAACAUCCUCAAACUUGUUGGAUAAAAUUUUGAAUAUAUAAUCUUCGAUAAUUUUGAUAUAUUACACUAUCAGAUUAGCCCAUGUUUUAGAUAUAAAGAUUCAUGAGAUAAAGAUUGAAAAUUUCUACUUUUUAAUAAAUAAAUACGAACCAUCACAACAAUAAAUAUUUUUUUAGGAUAAGAAUCCGAUUAGAUAUCAAGCUAUACCCAAGUUUGUAUCGGGUUUCGACCAUAUGAUAUUUCUAAUCUUAUUUAUUUAGAUAAAUAAAAAAAUUGAAGACAGCAUCAAAUGACUGAGACCGAUGAAAACUUGGGCACGUCGUUAAAUUGACAUUGAUAAUGACGCAGAAUCUUUACAUGUAACCUAACAUGUGGAUUGGAUCGGCUGAUGCCUUUGAAAAUUCCAUGCCGAUUUUGAUCAGCUAAAAGUUUAUAUUUUGCACGAUGUCUUCUCCAAUAUCUUUGAUAAUAUAAUAUGAUGGUUCUUUUCAGAGUUCCCCAAAAUGAAUCCAAGUAAUGGCGCCUUGGCUCGAGUUGAUGGGAACAACAGCACGUCAAUCUUGACAUCAUGAGCGCGUUAAUAGGGUUUCUUGAUGAGAAAAUUUCCAUUAGUGGUACCAUUUGUAUUAAAUGUUAACUAUAGUGAAACUAUAUGGCAACCGAUACAGGAAUAAUUGAUACCAACUACACUUAAUUGAUGCAUGGCUCAUACAAUGGUAUUAUGUUAUAUGGUUAACAGCUCAGAGUUAUGUGAUCCAUACAUAUCCGACACCUAGGGUUAUGUAGUUGAUGCAUGAUCGACACCUCCGUAUUACAAGGAAGAUGCUACUACAUCUUGUAACUAGGUCGAUCAUAUUGUUACGGUAUCCUGGAUUCGGUAUAUCAUAGUAUCACGAUCGCAAUUAGAUUCGAGAGUAUUACUUCCAUAACAAGCACAAAUUAUAAGAGUAACGAGUCGACUAUAAAAAGAUUCUUCAAGUGCAAAAGAAUUCAUUUAGAAUCCUUUCGGGCCCUAAACUAAUUUUAACAUUAGAGGAACAUUUGUCAAGAAUAUCAUUAGCAAGAUUUGACAUCCUCGAGGUCGGGAGAAUCAAAUUUUGGCUAAGGAUAAAUUGAGACGGUAGCAGAAAGAGGAACUUGGUUGGUUCCAAAUCAAUAUCCAACUCGGAAAAAUAAAAAUUGACUUAAUAACAAUUAUAUUUGAUACUUAGGAUCGACAUACAAAGCGAUACCAAUUAAAUAUAAUAUUAUAUUUAAAAAUAUUUUUUAAUAAAAAAUAAACAUUAAUAAAGCGAUAUUUUUAGACAUGCUUUCGGUUGAACUUGAGGAAUUAAUAUUGAAGAGCGAUACUUCGUUUCUACAAAACGAACUGAACUGAUGUGUGAUAUUAACAUUGUUUUACUCUCGAGAGGCUUUUCUUUGUUUUUCUCGUUCAAUCAUUCAAUCGUGACUCUCUUUUUUUAUUCUUCUCAAUAUAACGACACUCGGAGAAUAGAAGAAUCCUAAUCGAUUUCACCACAUCAGAUGAACGAUAAAAAUCGAUCGACCGUAUCAUAAUCGAACCAAACAGAAGUCUACUCGAAAUUCUCUUGUUUCAAUGCGAAUUGGCAGCUAAAGAACAAUAGGAGACAGCAAUAAACAGCAGCACAUCUAAUUCUUUUGCAUGAUCCUUCACGACAUGCGACUGCGAUCCAAUACGUACGUGUCUCCGCAAGCCACCAUCCGACGAAUUGGGCACAAUGAUGAGCACACUGUUUAUUGCGGGCAUGUGAAGAUAGCAUGAGACCCACACACCACAGUGGAUGUACGUCCCAUCGAAUGGACAAGACAGAGCCGAGCAAGAACAGGAAGACAGCUCCAAAGUUUGCUCCCCGUGACACACCGCUGAUCGCACUCGACUAAACAGUCCCCGGUCGUCGAGCAAAUCGUCCUCACAGAUCACACACGGCUUCAGCGUGUCUGACCACCGAAACUUCAGCUUGAGCUCUACCUUGAAUGUGCACGAAGACGAACUCGGAGCAUGGAUCCGAGAUCUCGAGCCAUGAUGGGAGCUCGUACAUCUUCUUAUCCGGCGUCGGCGCUUUGGCCCCACAGAGGCCCGGUAAGAUCCUCGAUCCUCAGCUCGAGGUACGUGAUCAUCCAGAGUCCUUAAUGUUCUUCGAAAAGAAAUGAUUAAUUUAAUUCUUAUUGAUGCUGAAUGUAAAUUUAUAUACAUAAAAAAUUAUAAAAUAUUUUAAUUAUAUAAUUUUUUAAAUUAAUAAUAAAUUAUUUUAUAAUAUAAGAGAUCAUGAUCUUCAUUAUUGAUAGAAUUAUGAUAAUAUAUUAUCAUAAUUUUUAUGAUUUAAAAUCAUGAUAAUAUAAUAUCAAAAUAUUAAAAGGAUUAUGAUAAUUUUAUUAUAAUUUAUUUUUUCAAUAAUAUCUUUCUCAAUAUUGUCUCAUAAUAUGAUGCUCCUAUUGAAGACACCGAUCUUAAACCAAAAUAAAAGGAAUUGAAGGCUUCCUAAGAGCAUCUGCAAAUUGAUCAGAGACAUGAGAUACACACGGUUCAUUAUUUUGAACUUACAUACAUUUGUUACCUCGAUAUUAUAUAGUUGGAGGAUAAACAAUUAUAACAAAUAAUUCAUAUAACAAUGAUUGAAUCUAACAAAGUUUAAUAGUUAUAGAAGUAAUUGUUCGAUAUUCAAUAUAUCUUGCAAUAGAGCAUUGUUUGUUAGAACCGUAAGAGAUUAGAUUGUGACUUAGAAAUACGAUAUAAGUACUAGUAGAUAUCCUAUCAUCCUUAUUACCUACCCAAUCGAUAUAAAAAAAUAUAUGAAUUAACAAAUGAGAGUCCUUUCAGAAAAAUAAGCCAUAAUUAAUAGUGUCCUUUAAAUACCGAAGAAAAUGUUUAACAGUUGUCCAAUGCAUAAAUUGAGAUAAUUUAUUCACUACAUAUGCAAUGUUUAGACGAGUAAAUAUCAAAUAUUAUAAACUUCCAACAACUUAAUAAUACUCGGUGUCGUUACUAAGAUUAGCACUAUCAAAUAGGGUAAUAUGAAUCCUUCUAGAGAUUGGCGUAGUGCUUCAAGCAUUUUGAUGCGAUCAAGAAGGUCAUUAAUAUACUUUUGCUGAUAAAAAAAUAAAUUAUUUAUCAUCUAGAUUACUUAAACACCAAGAAAAUAGCUAAGGGACCUAAAAUCUUUGAUAGAGAACUUGUGUCCAAGUUACUGAAUAAACUGAUUAAUUAUUACUAGUUUAUUACCAGUAAAAAUUAAGUCAUCCACAUAAACUAGUAAAAACAUAAUUAUACUUUCAUGAGAAUAAAUAAAUAACGAAUUAUUAGAUUGAGAAUUAUGAAGUCUAAUUGAGAUUAGAUACAUUCAAAAUUUAUGAUACCAAGCAUGAGAGGCUUGCUUGAGAUCAUAAAGAGUCAUAUGCAAUUUACAGAUAUGCUCAGGAAGAUUGUAAUCAAUAAAGCCUAGAGAUUGUCUUAUAAAUACAUCCUCAGAAAUAUGACCCAUUAUUCACGUUCAACUAUCGAAGUCCCAAAUUGUUAGAUAAAGCAAGACCUAAAAUAAUACAAAUUGUUGUUGGCUUCACAACUAGGCUAAAUGUGUCACAGUACUCAAGGCCUAGAUGUUGAUAAAUUUUUUUUGUAAUAAGUCUUGCUUUAUACUUAUUAAUGAUCAUAUUAGGAUUUCGUUUGAUAUAAAAAAUCCAUUUGCACCCUAUAAGGUUUUGACUUGGAUGGGAUAAGACUAAGUCACAUGUAUCGUUUCAUAAUAAAGCAUUAUAUUCUUACAUUUCUACUCGUCAUUUGAAAAUUUUUAGAGCUUAGUUAAUGGUAGAAGGAUUAAAUAUAAAUUUUUAGGAUUGCUUUACAGAAAUAAAGAAAUAUUUAUUUAGUUUAAAUACUUAAUUUUUCGAUCUAGUAAUCAGUGUAAAGUCAAUCACAUCUCUAGGACAUAUUGGAUGAGAAGAAUUUAAAGUAAGAGGCAUUAAAACCAAAGAAUUCUUUUAUUGCAUGACACUCUCAUGAGGCAACUAGAUGGAUAAGAUAAUAUGUUAUUCAUCAUGCAUAAUUGAGGAAGGACCUGGUGUGAUAUGAGUGGAUAAAGUAUUUGGAUUAGUGAGUAGGGUUGAUGUUUCAACUUAAACAUGAAUGAUAAUAUGAGGUGGCUCAUGAAUUUAGGGAACUCAAUUAACAAAAAAUAUUAGAAGUUAGUUUAGGUAAAAGAGAGCCAAGUGAUUUAUAAAGAAAAAUAGAUUCCAUAAAAUCAGCAUGACAAGAAAUGAAAAUUCUUUUGGUUGAUGGAUUAAAAUAUUUAAAGACACUUUGACAAGUGUAAUAAUAUCCAAGAAAAACACAUGCUUAUGAUCGAGCUUCCAAUUUAUUAUGGUGUAAGGUUUUAACCAUAGAUAACAUAGAUACUAAAAAAUAUAUAAUUUACCAUAGUUAAAAAUGAAUCCAAAUAGUUUUUCAAAUGGUGAAAAUAUAUUUAGAACUGGAGUGGGCAUGUGAUUAAUAAGAUAAAUGCACAAGACCAAAAUUGAAGAGGUAAGAAAGCUUGAGGAAAAAGUGUGAGGCUAGUUUGGAUGAUAUGUUGAUGAUGACAUUUCUUGAUUUUAAUAUGUUCAGGAGUAUGUAUGCAGGAGUAUGUAUGUAGAGGGGUGAGAAAACGAGAGAUUCUAUUAGUUUCAAAAAAAGUUAUGAAGUUUUUAAAUUCACUACCAUUAUUACAGUAAAAGAAAAUAAUAGAUCAUUAAAAGAACUUUUUAACAAUAAGCUUGAACUUUAGAAAAAUGAUGAAUACUUCAUAUUUUUAUUUUAUGAGAAAUAAUCAUAUGUACUUUAUGAAAUGGUCAAUAAAGAUAAGUUGGUAGUUAAAUCCGUCGUGAGAUUGGAUUGGUGAAGAACCCUAAAUAUUAGAAUACAUAAAUUCAAGAGGUGAACUAUUUGUGAGAGAGAAUGUAAAAAAAUGGAAGCUUGUGCAUUUUAUUAUAUUUGUAUGAGUUAUACGAAAAGGAUAGCAAGAUGAUGAUGAUAAAAGUAAAUUACAAGAAUGAACAAUAUGAUUUAAUACCUUAAAAAAAAUGUCUUAAUAGAUUGUGUCAUUUUUGAAAUGGAGCCUUAACAGUAGUCAAAGCAAAGAUAGAUUUCGAUGAUGUAAUAAUUGACCUAUCAUAAACUUCAUUUCUAUUCAGCCCCUCCAUGAGAUAUGCCCUCAUGUUGAGAUCUUUCACAACAAAUGAAGAGAGUAAGAAUUCAAUAGAAAUAUUAUUAGAAGAAUAUAAUUUAGAAAUAGAUAUUAUGUUCUUCUUCAUAUCAUGAAUAUAAAGAACAUCAAAAAGUAAAAAAAAUUUAAGGAAGAAGAAAGGUUUGUAGAACCAGUAUGAGUUAUUUUAAGAUAUUUGCUAUCACCUAUUAUGAUAUCAUAUAAACCAUCAUAAUCUAAAUCAAGGUCCGCAAUACCGUACCGUACCGGAGUUUCGACCUGGGCUCGGUACCGGUACGAUACGGUAUACUGCUCGGUACACCUGGGUGUACCGAGCGGUAUAUUCAGGCGUGUCGAGCACUAUAGCAGUGCUACAGUGCUACCGUACUGCUACAGUACCGGACCGAUAACAGGUGGCCCGCGUACCGGAAGCCUGUCGGACCGGUACGUACCGCCCGUACCAGACGGUACGGACCGGUACUGCAGACCAUGAUCUAAAUGAAAAAAAAUAAGUUAUUGUCAGACAUAACAUGAUGAGAAAUCUUAGAACCAAUAAGCCAGUUUGACGAAGGUUGAAAAGAUUGAGCAACAAAGUGAGCAUGCGGUGGUGAUAAUGAAAAUCAAGUAGUGCAAUAAGAUAUGUAGAAUAAGGUAGGUAUGAAGAUUGAAACAUCUAUGAAAUAGAAGCUUGCAAGCGAUGAUAUUUCUUAGCAACAUGACCUUGUAAGUCAUAUAUUUGAUAAGUGACUUUAUUAUUGAAUUGUUGAUCAAAUUUGUUGACACUUUUGUUAUGAUGUUACUGAAUGUUGAAUUCAGAAUAAUUGUUUGGAUGAUUAUCUUGCUUGUAGAUCUUACCUUUAUUACUAUAAUUAGUUUUGUUAGUAAAAUUGACGAUAAUAAAAGUAGCAUUAGAAGUGGUGGCUCUUGCUUAAGAUAAGAUUUAUAGUCUAAAAAUUUAUCAUGAAAUUCUUCAAAAGAUAUAAGAUUAUUACGAGUAUGAAUCGCAACUAAGAUCUCCUUAUAAUAUGAACCAAGACUAUUUAAUAUAUGAAAAAUGAUCUCCUCGUCAUCAAGAGGUGCAUCAGCUAUAACAAGUGCAUCAGCUUGAGUUUUGAUCGCCUAUAUUUAGUUAGAAAUAGAUUUUAUACCCUUGAAAAUUUUGAAUAGAGUUUUUUGAAGUUACAUGAGGUAAUCAUGAGAUUGGUUGGCAUAUAUUAUUGCAAGCUUAGACCACACUUCAUAAAAGGAUUUUAUAGAGACUAUGUAGAGAAUGAUUUAAAGAGAGAGAGGCAAUUAUAGUAUUUCUAAGAAGAUUAUGACUAUUUAUGGAUAGCUAGAUGAAAUAGCUAGUUGACUUCUGAUUGACUUUACUUUCACUGGCCCAACUCUCUUAGCCCAAAUCUCCCUACUUAGCUUUGUGGUUAAUGGGCUCUCGAUUUGAAGUCAUAGAAAGUUCCAUUCGAGUUGAAUCCAUCUUAGUAUGGAUUUUGAUGAAUCCAAAAAGUGUAUUUAGGAUUAACAACUUCAAGAUUAUUUUCUCUAAUUAUUUGCGGAAGAUAAAUGAUGAUGCCAUCUACAUAACCCAUAAGAUCAUAGUUGAUUAAAAAAGAAUAAAUUGAGUAUACUAUGAGGUAUAGUUUGUAGAUGUAAGUUUCAGAGGAGCUUGGACUACAACGUUAAUGGAGACAAGAGUAUUUUCAAGAAUAAAUGAGUUGAAAAUGAUAUGAGACGAGUAGCUAGUUGCAACCAUAUCGAAAAGUAGAGAAGAAAAUGAUCUGAAAUAGCUUACAAGAGAGAAAUUUGCUAGAGUAUAAAGCUCAAAACAAGUUGCAAUGCUACCUUCAACCGCCAUGAAAGAGGUACAAAACAAUCAUAGCAAAAAAACAAUCAAAGAAAAAAACUCCUUUAUAUACACAAAGAGAUAUUACAAAAAUAUGAUAAUUACAUGAUUUUCUCAAUCAAUAAUAAAUAUAAAAUAUUUACUAAAUUAUUUCAUAGAAUAGGAAUUACGUUCAGAUCGUGAUCUUAACUAUUAAUAUAAUCAUGAUAAUAUAUUAUUAUAAUUUUUAUAAUUUAGAAUCAAAAUAACAUAGUAUCAAAGGGGUCAUAAUAAUCGUAUUAUAAUUUAUUUUUCUUAAUAAUAUCUUUUCUAAUAUUCUUCAUUGUCACCUUUUGCCCGAAACACUACGCUCCUUUGUGCUUCCGUGUGUGGGUUACCGCGUGCACGAACUCAACCGGUGCACGCCUGCAAACUUGUUGUCCCAUGAGAAUUCAGUAACAGCCCACCCGGUUCCGCCAUGGACGGCAGCGUUUUCAGCGACGUAGUGCAGGUAGAGCUUGUCGUGUGUGGCUUCGAAAAGCCAAGCGGCAGCCCAGAGCAGUUCAUCCUGCAUCCAGGAGUUGAAUUGUUGCACCUGAUUCUAUGCUUUGUUUUGGAUGAUCGAUCUGUAUCAGAGAAGUGUUCUUUACCGAAUAGCCACCGGAAGAAGGGUAGUACUUGCGAACAGAGUCGUCGUAUCGGCCUCUGUAUGUAUCAGCAAAGGAGACCAGCUGCAAGACGAACAUCAGAUAGAUAUAUAUAUAUAUAUAUAUAUAUAUAUAUAUAUAUAUAUAACCUGGAUGGUCGCAGUUUACCUUGUAUGCUGUCCUUGGGGUGGUCAUGUCCUCUGCCCUCUUCCAACAAAGUAUGAUCGGUGUCUCCAUCACCAACCUUUUCACACGAUUGAUUGUCGAGGAAAGAAACAGGGAAGAACACAAACAAGUAGAGAGAGAGAGAGAGAGAGAGAGAGAGAGAGAUUGCUUGUUGUUUACCUGCACCCAUAGAGUGUCAGGUUGUCUGUGUGCUUUGACCAAGUAAUCGGUUCCCCAGCGAAUUGCUUCGAGAGCGGAGUCUAAUUGGCCUGCGGCGACUAUCUGCUCUUCGAACUCGACUGCGGCUCCAUGACAGCAUCGUCACAGCAUACGCCAUCGGCAAUCCAAACUUCACAUGAUCACCGGCGUCGUAGUAGCCUCCCUCCAAGUCCACCUGAGCAAGUGUGUCGGAAGAACAUGAUGACUGAUACCGGUCAUCUUCUUCCCGGCCGAAGAUGCAUGAGAUGGAUAAGGAGACUGACCCCUUGGCUUGCCCGACCUCCGGGCCCCGAAGAACAGCAGGCUCUUUUCCAAAGCUAAUAUGAAGAAGGCAACAUCAGAGAUAAUAUGAACAAGUCAUGUUUUGAGCACGGAGGUUUUUUGUUUAGAUGGUUUCCAAAUAAACUGGUUUUCUGGUUACAAUAAAUGGAAACCAAAAACAGAGAAUUUGAACUCUGGAUGCUUAAAGAAACUUCCAUUCAUAUGCAAGAGAACACAAGCAAAAAUGUGGCAACUUAACAUAAAACUUGAAAAAAAAUGAAUCACUUGUAGAGACGAUUUUUCUCGACAACAAAUCCCGAGUUUUCCAUAUGAUGAAUUCUCCUUAGCAUGAAUAAGAUCGUUCUGUUCUACUGCAAGAUGUAAGGGAAGUAGAUUGCUCACAUAGUGCUUGUUUUGAAACAGAAUCAACUCAGAGUUGCAUGUCAGGUUCUAAUACAUUUUAGCUCUCAGUGAAAAACAAGAAGAGGUUCUGUGAUCUCUCUUCAUAGCUCCAUAAACAAAGAAUAUUUUGCAUCGAACCCUUCUAUGCUCUCAAGGACUGCAACUAGGCAUGCAUUGUUGACAUCAAUUGGAUCAAGAUUGUCCAGAUAGCACCAUUUCAUCAUUUCUUCACCAGAAUGUAUAGUGCUACUCGAUCACUACGAUAAUCAGGAUGCCAUUGACUCUGAUCGACACGACCAACUACAAACUCUUUCAUUGCACCUUCCAAGAAGUAUUCAAGUACAGCAUCUGCCAAACAGAGAUUAUAAGUGAGAAGUCUUGACAGGACAUUUUUUUUUAUUACUGUCUCGGAGAAAAAGAAACUACCAUUUCGGAGUUCCCCAGCCACAAAGACUGUUGUAUGGCACCCACAAAUUUGCUUUAAUGUCGAUAAAAGAUCCUCAACUGCUGCUUCACUGUAGACUACAUCUGAUCCAAGAACUAAAAUACAAAAUGUUUGCAAAAUAUUACCAAAAAUAUUUAACCAAGAUAAGUCUAAUAAUCUGUGGAAAAACUGCAGCUUAGAGGUCACCAAUCAAUGCUCUAAAUGACAGGAGAUCAAAGAUGAAUCCCAAAAAUUUCUCAUGCUGUAUCUUGGUGUAUGAAAUGGCAGAUCAGCGAUUGAAACCUUGGCACAAGUCAAAUAUUAGCACGGCAACAUAAAGCGCCAAAUCAUUGAUUUUUUUUUUGAAGUCCAGCAUAUGCUUGCCUCAUGUCUUAUAUCUGGUAACUACAAAGUUGCUCCAACUCUACCUACAUUAUGUUAAUUUCCUUUCCCUUCUAUUGGUUUGAAAGGAAAUGGCAGAGAAAGUCUUUGUACCAAAAGAUCUCUCCCUUGAAAACAGAUAAGCAGCACAUGCAUUUAGGAAAGAAAAAGUAAAACAGUUCUCCUAUUCCCUUUUGUAUGCUAAGUAUGGCAAAUGUGAGGAUUUACUCUCCCUUUGAGAUGGGUUGCAGGAAAAGUGAUUGAUAGGAAGAUUUCAGAACUUCUCUUCUGGUACUGAUAGAUAAGACCGGAAAAAAAAAAAACCUAGUUUUUUCUACAGUCUGGAAAACAAAUUAACUCUAUUUCCUUUGAGGUAUCAAAGAUACACUGAAAGAGAUAUUUUCAAGACUAUACAAGAGAUUGAUUUUAAAGACUACUUUCAUAGAACUUACAUCCAAUGAAAUGCAUCCUUAUUGACUCAAAUAAAAUAUAAAAAACCUAUGCCCUUCCAGUAUUAUAGAUUAUAGUGAUACUUCAAGUCUUGACAUUGCUUUGCGGAUUUUUAUUUAUGGCCUCAGUGUACGAUUAUGGCACCAAAUUGAUGGAAAAAAUUGGAUGAUCAUAUAUGUAUUGCUAAAGGCAAUACGAGUCACGGAAACAAUCUUUUUAAAUAUUUAAAGAUAAGGCUGAUCCUCCCGGAUUCUGCAUUGACAGGAGCCUCGUGCUCUGGGUACACCCUUUUAAUACAUGUAUCGCUAGCCAUUUAUGAUAAAUACGUUAUAAUCCACCUCUAUGCCAUGCAGCAGAUCUUAAAUUAAGUAGAUGAGGAAAUAACUAUGUAUCAUACCAAUGUCAGGCAUGGGAUCGAGGAGCUCCGUAUCGAUAUCAUCACCCCAUGUAAGCUCGCUAACUCUCGCUGAGCCACGCUUAUUCCAUCCUUCCACAUUCAGAUCCACGUUCUUCUUCAGGAGUUUGAGUCGGUCAGGAAGAUCGGUGAGCAUGACAUCUGCACCCAAGAGAGCUGCUAUACAGCUGAAGACACCAACAAAUAGCAAUCAACUAUGCUCUAUCAAUACAUGAAUUGCAUUCAAAUUCAGGUGCAAAUUCGCCUAGCAAUCCGCUUUACAUGCCCUCGGAAGCAAGAUCGAGAAAUCGAAGUUACCCGACUAAGCCACAGCCGGCGCCGAGUUCGACGACCCUUUUUCCAUGGAGACUCAGCGUUCCUGAGUCAACAGCAUGCUCCAAGAACUUGCCGAGAACGAUUCCGCUGUCCCACAUCACCGCCCCGGUCACGCCGGGCGUGCUCUGAACACGCCCACGUACAUGCGCAAAUCUAGCUCGCUUGAGAAGAAGGGUAGGGGAUCGAACAAAUGAGAUGAUUUACCAUGGAGGAAGGGGACUGGAGGACGGUGAGGCGGUGGCCGCAAGCGUCGAUAGCGAGGGUUCGGGAGGAGUGACGGACGAAGGCGUUCUGCCGCUGCGCCGCCGGCUGAUGCAGAGCCCACAGCAGCAGUAUCUCCCCCGCCGCCUCCUCGACCACCUCCGCGUCACGGCCAUACGCUCCCAGUCGCAUCGUGGCCACGGCCGCCGCCGACUCCGCGACCGAGGUUGCCUCCAUACCUGGCUCGGUGGCGUCCGUCCCGACCGGGUUAAAUCAAUUAAGUCGAUCCGAACUAGCAAUUGGCUGAACCGGGUGUUUUUUUGUGCCUACCAACUCGUUUCGGCUCGCGUUAGGCCGACCGUAACAUGCAAACAAGGUUAAGUCGUCUCAUUUGCCAUAUUUUCUACAGGUAAUGCCAUAUACGCACACAGUUUAUGAGGCAAAGUCUCCGAGAUGUUCUGUAGAUUGAGUUGUUCCGUGACAGAUAGGGAUGCAGCAGAGAUGGCAUUACGAGUAGGGUUCCGGUGGCCUUGACAUCCAAGCAGGAAUGAGGCAGACGAAAGUUAUGGGCAGAUGUGGAAAUUCAACUAUUUUUCUGCAUUAUCUUCUCUUUCGUUUCUUGGAUUCUAUGUUUUCUCAUGAUAAAGAUGUACGAAGAGAGUCUAUGGCUUCAAUAGUUCAAACACUUUUCAUGCGUUUGGUUGUCUUCCUCCGGUAGCUCACGCUAUCCAUGCAGAAAGGGUACGCCCCUUUUGUUUGCUGCGCUGCAAGCAGCUCUGUAGCAGCUGUUUAAGUCUCGUGAAACCAAACCUGUAUGCUAUCAGUAAAGAAAGCAAGAAGCGAGCAAAUGCUAAGCCAUGAAGAUUUCCUGCUACAUGGUUGCGAUACUUGCUGCUGCCGGUACCUCUUUGUCGGCAAUGGACGAGGUGCCUGAGUUGCUCGGCAGGAGAGGAGGAGGCCCGUGGACUCCGGAGCACAGAAACAUGGAGGGAGGUGAGAAGCUCGAGCAUGGCUACGAUAAGAGCGGCGGAGGGAGGACUGAGGAAGGAUUGGAGAUGGUCGAAGCCCCACUGCAGCAGCCAAGGAUGCAAGAAGACGAUGAACAAGUGCACUGACUCCCUCGACAAAGACCAGGGCAGAUGCAUGCAAGCCUUUUAUGUUUCUGCAACGGAAUCAGGAGGUAGAAUUAGUUCUCUUCUCCGGCAUUCCUUGUCGUGUUCGUCUUUCCUGGUCUGCCUUCUGCAAUAAUGUUAAUGAUAUAAGUGCAGACAUGUUAGCGUAUAAGCUUACCAGGAUUUGAGAAUUCCUUUAACGUAGGAACACGCUGAAGUUAUCGACAUGAACGCCAAACUAGUGCAAAGAUGAAACCUACUAGCAGAAGCAUAAUGAUAUGGCCAGUAAAGCUUGAGCCAUCACAAACAUACCGGACAAUACCGCAAUUAUUUGUCAAAAUUAAAAAGAUAAAACACACAAUUUUAUUCAAAAGACAAAUUAAUACCGUUUGCACAACAUAAUACAGAACUAAUGGUAUGGUCAAACCAAAUAAUUGUAGCAUAUAGCACGACUCACUACCUAUUGUUUCUAGGUCUCAGUUUGUGAACAAUCUUGUUGUAAUUAAAAUUUCUUCCUAAUUUAUAACCAAAAAAAGAAAGACUCACACCGAUUUGCCGCUUGCAGUGUGGGAAUGUGAUCAUCUUUGGGCAGGGCAAAGUUCACCUUGGAACCAAUUGUGUAAAAGUAAUAGGACUCAAUGUGAAUUGAGCAGCGGAGUCGAUGGUGGUCGAUCCCUUAAACUGGGUGCUGCUGGAGAUUGUUCCUUCAGAAGCUUUUCUCGUGCUGGAAGAGCCUUCCACAUAGCCUGGGGGUGUCAAUUCCUUCUCAUUGAGUCUGAUGGGCUGGGACAGCAUAUGUACAACCUGUGUCAUCGAAGGUCGCCGUACAGCUACUGCUUGGGUGCAGAAGAGGGCUACCUUAAUAAACUUCAGAACUUGUUCUUCUGGAUAUUCUUGCAGCACCGGAUCUAUCAGUUCUUUAAGCCUUCCCUCCUGAAAAAGCUGCCAUGUCUGUACGUCCACAAAACAUAAAUUGUGGUAAGAACAAAAUCUGGGAUUGGCAUUCAAUUUAUCAAGGGGAAGAUAUCACAAGUGUCCUGUGAGAAAAACAAAAAUAAAGGCGGCCACCUCUUUUUUGUUUUAGAUUCUGUAUAUAUUUUGAAUCUUAGCCUUUGUGGAGAGUAGAUUAUUAGUAGCGGUGAUCAUGGUUCAUCUUAUCGAUUCGUCCUGAUAUACUAACUAGCCGUCGGUACGAUACGUUUCAAUAUACCAACUCAUGGUACGGUGAGACAUACCGACAAACUAAUAUAUACCGCUCGUAUUAGUCUCCUAUUGGACUAUACAUACCGCCCAUACUGGGUGAUACAUCGUGGUCCAAUGAACUUUAGUAGUGACAAUAUUUAGAUUGAAACAACUAAUUUUGCUAAGAUCAUUGAAAGAAUUAAUUUGACAAUAUUUCAGAUUGAAUAUUAAUUGAAAAAUGAGGAAGCUAUAAGCUAUCUUGAGAAGCUUUUCACCAAGUUAAAUAUUCACAGCAUCAUGACACUAUAAAAUCUACUGAAAUAAACUUGGACUUCAGCUCCAUGUGCUGCAAACAUUGUAUCUCGUUCACAUAAAUUAAUUCAGAGUGCCUUAGUAAGCAAAUGUUUUAGUAUAUUUGAGGUUGCUACUUUGCAACCGGGAUGACCAUGACAUAAGUCAUAGGAACAAUAUCUUUAUUUGCAGGGUAAAGCUUUAUGCAUUGACCCUCACCAUGCACUGGUAGGAUCCUUGUACAUUUGGGUUAGCUUUUUAAUGUAACACAUGCAUCUAUGCAGGUUUGUGAUAGAUGGAUUGAGCACGUGGUUAUCAACUAUACUUCUAUUGCCAUGGUUAAUUUAUCUUUAACCAAUUAAACCAAAAAGUGCAACAUAUAGUGUAAGAAACAUCCACUAUUAAUGCCAAGCAAGACAAUUUCAGGGAAAUCAAUAAAUAUAAACUAUAAAGGCAAGAAAUGGCAUCUAAGCAAAUCAGUAAAAACUAAAAAGUAUGUAUAAUGUUGAGUGAUGACUUACCCGCUCUAAGAGAAACUGAUUCACGCCUGACAAGUAUGACUUUGAAAUACUUCUGCCACUAAUUAUUUCAAUAACAAGGACCCCAAAGCUAUACACAUCAGCCUUCUUAGUUAACUGGCCCUGCAAGGCAUACUCAGGUGCCAAAUAACCACUGCAUUGAAUAUCGCACAUGUAAGUAACACAAGGGAAAAAUAUGUUGGGCAUAUGACAAUUCUCAGUUUGUUGCAUCACUUUAUUUUUAUUUUUUGUUACACUCCUAUAAUCCCAGGGUAGCAGCAGCAGGAAGAACUAUAUUGCAACAAUGUGCCAAGUUUAACAAAAUUUUUGGGUAUCAACAACACUUUUGGCUGACCAUUUUGUCCAUAGUCAUCUAGACAAGAAGAAAACCAACAGCCUUAUUUAGCUAAAUCCUCUCAAGAAGGCAGAAUACAGCACACUAAAUACCAUUCUGCUCUGUUUGACAAAUUCCAAUUUUGAAAGAACAUGUUGACAUAUGUCUAUUUGUAGUUUACUGUGUUAAGGCAAUAAUUCUUAAUUUAAAAAUCAAAUUCUUCAUCAAUGUGGAAGUUGGUGAAAUCCAUGACAUGAAGGGCCUCCUGAAUAACAUCUUAGGUCUAAGAUUGGACCAGUUAUCCUUUCUGCUAGUUUGAAGGAAAAUACUUUCUUCAUGCAACAUUCAAUGGUUAAAAUGGUUAAGCGAUACAUGUACUUAAAAUACAAUCGUGUUCAUAAUUCCAAAUGAUUCAAUAUUAAAAUUACAAAUAUUUCACAUUUAAUCAACUGACACAUUUUGAGUUGUGGGGCAACAGUGUCCUUUCAUUAUCUAAUAGCCAAAAUUAUUAAAAGAUCAAUAAUUUUUUUUAUGAUGGCUCUACAUGUGAGUUUAAUGAUGAAAGCACUAAAAAACCAAACUAGUUCUGCUAGUUAAAUUAUUAAUUUAUGACGCACUCCAAAUUUUUAUGUUCAUGGACUACAAGUUAUUCAACCUAAUAAUCAAGGUAAAACUUACACAAGUAGUUAUGGAUGGCUUACGUUGUUCCAGCUACACGUGUGCUGAUAUGAGUAACAUUAUCAGGAAAAAGCUUUGCCAAACCAAAAUCACCAAUUUUUGGGUCAAAAUUACUGUCAAGAAGAAUAUUGCUAGCUUUGAUGUCUCUGUGCACGAUAGGAGGUUCAAGAUCUUCGUGAAGAAAAGCAAGACCUCUAGCAGUGCCUAUACAAAUUGCAGAUCUGAUAUUCCAACUCAGCUUGGUAGACUUGUCAAUAUUCAUACCUAGAAAGUAAAAGAAUUUUUAAAAGAAGACAAAGCAAAACUUAUUGUUUUUAACUCAUCAUACUUGUUUAACUUUGUCAAGGUUACCUAGCAAAGUGCGAUCAAGACUACCAUUCUCCAUAUGCUCAUACACUAAAAUGCGGCUGCUAUCUUGGACACAGCAACCUAUAAGCUCAACAAGGUUUGGGUGCCCAACAUUUGCAAUUGUAUCAAUCUCAGUCAAGAAUUCCUUCACUCCUUGCUUGGAUUCUGCAGAUAGCACCUUUAUUGCAACUGUUACUCCAUUCCUUAGAGUGCCCUGUCAUAUAAUAAUAUGAAAAAGAAACAGAUGAGCUUGUAGUUCUACGAGGAUUGCUGUUACUUUUCAUGUAGAAAUACCUAAGUUGAAUGAUCAAGUUGCAGUUCAAAGUAAAACAAUUAUAACUUAUGUAUGAAAUAAUAGUAAAAUUAACAUCAUUUUGACCAGAGUAAGAGAGAGAUUUUUAGUAAUUGAUUAAUUGUUUUAAUGUAAGCCAGUGUCAAAGUUCCCUGGUGAUCAAGUUUAAUCAAUCUUUUCAUAUAAGCAGUACCUGCUGUACAUUUUAACUUUGUUUUUGGUUUUUUUUUCCUUUCUCUUCUUCCACCAUAGGCUCUUCUCCUUCCACACCACCAUCUCCUUCUCAUCACUGCCAUUGCUCUUCUAUUGCUCAUCUGCAUUGCCACAUCCCCAUCUCUCCUUCGCUGCACAGUACUGUAACACUCCCCCAUCACAUCCCUCUCUCUCUGCCCCUCCCUCCUUAUAGUGAUCUGGCUAGUACCAACCACUAAUGCAUACCGACACUAAAUAUCAGUAUCCUACCAAUCCGACCACCAGCUGGUACCAAUACUGUACCAAGAUUUACUCUUGAUGUAGAUCAUUUAGCAUCUUCUUAAUUAGUUAAGUCUAUUCCAGUAAGUUCAUCAUUAUUGACCGACAUUCCAAUUUCACAUAUUCAAUAUACUUCUUGAAAAUAGAUGCACAAAAGUUGCAAUCAUCAUGUCAACAAAACAUGGUUAACUAAGACAAUAACAUUACCAAAGAUCAUGAUAUAUCUUCAGAUCCAUUAACUAUUAGUACCAUCCAUGAAAAAAAAGGGAGAAAAACAAAUCCCCCCUAGUGAUCAUAAACUGAUCCAAAUGGAGGAAUCACAUCAAGGGUGUAAGAGUCAAUAUGUGCAAUUCAAAAAAUGAUGUUAUUAGUCAAUGUGUGCAAUUCCAGAAAGGUUAUGAUUUAUCAGUCUACAAAUUUUAUCCAGUAAAACUAGAAAUAAUACAUCAAAUCACAUAUUAGCAACUUCUCCAUUGGAUCAAUAUUAAGUUACAAAAGACCAGAAGUCAUCUUACAUUCCUACAUGUGAUAAUUGUUUAUUGCAUAAAGUUGCAGCAUGUUUAUGAGGACACUAAAUAUUUCUCAAGGUUUUCAUUUUUUAAUGAAACAUUAGAUAUUAAUCCACUGUAAAGAAUUUUUUAAUGUAGAAGCAGUUUAGAGCUAGAGCUCUAUGUUUCGUCAUCUGCCCAGCAUAAAUAAACUGAAAACCAAUUUGUCACAUGGGAAUAAAAUCCAUCAGCAACAGUAAAUUUAUUAAGCAUAUAAAUUCAAGUUGACUUCAGUGGUCACCCACAUCAGACAAAAAGAAAACAGAAAGUGCUGAUUCUCUUACCUUGUAUACUGUUCCAAAACCACCCCGACCUAUCCUUUUGUCCGGACAAAAAUUAUCUGUUGCUGAACUCAGAUCACUGUAGGAGAAAAUCUUUAUUUUUUUGUCAGAUGAAAACCCUGGAUUAGAGGAAGAAGUCAAUGUUAGUAUAGAUACCCUAUAUCACAUAAUACAAACUUACAAUCUAUUUUUCGUUGCAAUAAAAUGCACAAAUAAUUGCAAUUCCUGACAGGCAUUUAUGGUUGCCUAGAAUUAUAUUUGUAGGUAUGUAUAGUUUUGAGAAAUUGACCCUUUAAGUUGCACUUCACUUUAUGUCAGUUCAGAAAGAAAAUUAUUAUAUUGACAUGGAGUUAUCAGCAACCUUUCACCUGAUAAUCCCAUUUUACUACAAUAAGAACCAGUGAUUCCGAACAAAGACUUGGCCUUACUAGUGAAAGGAAGAAUGUUACCAUUCAAUUAAUAGUCAAUCAAAUACAAAAACGUGCAGAAAAGAUCUACAUUAUGUAGAAAAUAGGCUGCAGUAGGAUUAUGAUACCAAGGAAUCUUCCACCAACAUUCUUUAGGGAAAAAAUUAGUGGCCAAAUCACCAGAUACAAAUGAAUCUUGUAAACAUUGACCCAAACUAAAGUACAAGAGUAAAGAAAAUGAAAUACUUAACCCCACAUUUACAUUUUACAUCUUACACAUGCAAAUCAAAUGGUCAUGGAACACUAACCAAACAAUCAGAAAUAAGCUACUUCGCAUGUUACAUGUGCUCAACUGAUUCCGAGGAAAUCAUAGUAGUUAUCACAGUAAUAAAAAGUUUUCUCCUAUAUCACCGGUGUGCCUCCCAAUUUCCCACAUUCCACAUUCUUUUCCAUAAUUAACAUCCCUGAAACUUGGAAACCUCUAGCAUAUCACGGAUAAGAUAAUGUGAAAGCAUAAAUGCUUUCAAGAAGUUCUUACCGGCUAGUUCUUGCUCAGAAUGUUGACGAAGUUUUUUCCUGGACAGUAAAGCAUCAAAACAGGAACAGUUCAUAUCAACUUGUUGCACGUGUCACAGCUGUCAGAUAUAUCACAUAUGCUGCCUGCAGUCUGACAGUAAUGAAAUGUCAUCUGUGAAAAAGAAUAUGUUUUAUAUUUUAAUUGCCAUCAAACUCUUACUAAAAACAUGUUAUGCUGAUACAAGGCUUAGCAGUGCCUGACAUAAAAAUUAAUGCAUAUCAUAUCAAUUAGUGCACUGAACUCCUGCCACUACAAGGUCUAAGGAGUAAUUGUUCUUCCUCAUUUCAUUAUAUAUCAAAUACACGUAAUUAUUCACGAAUGAAUUCCACACAUCCACCUCAAUAUUCUAAUCUCAGUGACACAAACUUUUUGUAUAUAUUAUUUUUUAACUAAUUACCCAACACUCAAAUCCGUUGGUUUAACAAUUGUUUUAUGAAAUUUUCCUUCGAUCUAAAAGGUAUAAUUGAUCAUAUAAAACUCUUGACACCCAUCUCCACCUUUAACUCUCAAUUUAUACUCUAUAAAUAAUAUCUUAAUCAAUCUCUCCAUCUUGUCAACUAAUUAGUCCAAGAUGCCUAAAUCUUUUAACACCCCUCUCCACUAAGUUUCAAGAGAUAUUCCAACCCAUGCACUCAAAUUUUACGUUCUAAAGUUAAUAUACAAAUUUGUUUCUUCGUAUGAUCAAACAUGCUCAAUAUGAUAUCACAGCCAACAGGCUACUCUCUACUUUUAUUAGCAAAGUUCUGGUACAUAACUGACACAACAACUAUGAUAAUUCAACUAUCAGAUCACUUAAAACAGAAGUAUAACUAAAAAACCUGAGUAAAAUACAAAAAAUGUCUACACCCAGGAAUCCGGACUGACACCUUCUUCAAACAGGACAGCGAUCACUACACCACUGAACUAAAUAUCGAACCAGCAACACAAAGCAAGCAGGGUGAGCUAAAAGCGAAAAAAGAAGCCACGCAAGAAGAGAGAAGAAAUUAGACCUACCAGAACCCAGAUCUGCUUUAAACUACGUCUCCAUGAAUGCGUGGAGAUUCCAAGACAGCGACUGCUGCAACGCAAAUUAAAUGGUGAACGAGCAAUCCCUAUCGAGCAAGAAUGUAUAACCCUAUCAAACAACAAUUAGGGCAAAAUAGACAAUAGAGGGGGGGGGGGCAGGGGGAUAAAGACGCCGCGAAAGAAGAGAGAAGAGAUCAAACCUGUCGGAAGCCAGAUCUUCUGCUUCGAACUACAGCUCCUUGAACUCCCUUCGAAGCCCUAGAACUCCGAAACCGAAGAGGAGGGAGGGGCUACUAAAAGUAGACAGCGAGGAGUUCGCUCACGACAAAAAGGAGGGAUGACUCCGCACCUCCGCUUCCUCCCAAACUCUACGUCUCCCCGGGAAAGGCAAAUGGGAACUCGUUGUCCCGAAGGUAGUCGCAACUGUCUUCUUUCUUCGUCUUCGACGCUGGCCGCGCGGUCCGCGGUCCGCGGUCGAGGAUGAUCGGUAAAAUGCACCAGGAAACAACAAAGAACAAGAUCACGUAGCAAGGCCAAAACACCAAAGCCGGGAAACACGUCGUGGAUAUCCCCGUAAAAUUGUGGGGACCCUAGUGAUGGAUCCAAUAGAACGGCGCGCUCCAAUCUUCGAUGGCUCGACCGGAACAGCUGGUCGGAUGGACGAUCGUCCGCCGACGCGUGGUGGACAUUGGUUUCAUGUUUCUCUGAGAUUGACGUGAACCGAGAUGCGUUCGCAUUAAUGGCUAAAGGAUGGUGGGAGUUUUCCCCUUAGCAGCCAUCAAACGUCGUUGAAUUUUGUUUUCCUUUGAUGCAAUGGGAUGUGGGGUUGGUGAUCGACAUCCGACAUUUUACCGGAAACAUCUCUAUUAUUGAUUUUUAUUUUAUUAUUUUUUUUAUGGCAUGACGUUCCUAUUUAUUUUAAUCUGAGAUAUUUUUUUAAUAAUAAAAGACUCAUAAAUCAAUUGAAAUUAAUUUUUUUGAAUAAAUAUUAUGAUCAAAUAUAAUAAAAGGUCAACUAAACAAAAAAAAAAUAAGUAUGACAUAAUUUUUGUUUUUUUUUAAUUUAUGAUAAUUAAUUAUAAAAAAUUAUAAUUUUAGAAAAGGAACUGUGAUCGAGUGUUUUAACUUGAUCGGCAUGCACGCAACCAAAACCCAAAUUCCAUAGAACCACAUCAUGUCUAACGUAAGACUGGAUGGAGACUUCUACCAGUACAUGAUGGGUGACCAAUAUUGAAGUUCUAACAAAGAAUUAGGUUUGGGGGAAGCCUUUUGAGUUUUAGAAUGGGUUGAAAUUAGAGUUUGGGGUUCUCACUAGAUAGGAUUGUUUAAUCUUGAUUAAUCCUGGAAUUAGAGUUAAAAAUGUUCCUCAGAAGAUAAAUUUAGAGGGGAUGAAACUAACCUAUAUCAGAUUUGGAAGAUGAUGAAGUAGAUGAUCAAUAGCCAUGAAAUAAAUCUUAAGGUCCUCCAGAGAACUGCAAUCCAAGCUUUGACCAUCUCAUGAAAGCAUACCAUCGCCACACUUGCAACUCCAGAAAACAUUUGCGUGACCACAGCAAACUGCAACAAAGUCAAAGACACUACGGCGGCUACUGUGUCAGGAACAAAGCUAAAAAUAGGCAGUCAUACAUGCUUUGUCAAUUUGAACAACAUUUAUACAUUAGUUUACUUCCACAUGAAUGGUACAUGCAUUGUAUUAGCAUUGAAACGAACCGCCAUAUCCAAAGUAUAAUAUUCGUCUGGAGAGAAGGAACGCCGUAAUUAACUAAGCACAGUUUCACCGGAGAAAAUUUUGUUAGAUAGUUGUAAGGUCUUGGGAUCAAAAACCAGUCUUCAUCACUUACCCCUGCAAAAAUUUUAAAAAGAAGUUACAAGACUAUUAUAUCAAGAAUGCCCAGAUGCAAGCAGCAAAGCAUGUCAUCUUCUCAUGGGUUUGCUUACAAUUCAAGAAUCAAUCUUCAAAGACAAGCUGGGGGCAGCGGUUUGAUAAGUUUGCUGAACCUCAUUUCUCAGAAGAGGCAGCCUAGCUGGGACAAAGUCGUCAUCGCUGUCAUAAUCAAUUGAACUGUCUGGUCCGAGAGCCCUAAGCACCAUAGCCGUGAAGAUAGAAAAUGCCUGGAAAUCAAAGUCUGACUUUACCAAACAUCCCCCAAGUGAAGAACUUUCAUUUUGAAAUAUAUGUUGAAAAAGCUUGCACGAACAAGAAUUACACCAAGUAGACAAAAUAGAUUUUCAAGUAGUGUACUUGUGACAUCUGACACAAGACAUUUUACUUUAGUGCACUAUGGUAAUGUAUAAACCUGUACAUACACUUAGACGACGGACCCAUGUCGUGGUAAGAUCAAGAAGCUGAAACUGGUAAUACAUGUUGAGCCAAAACAGUCUUUGAUAGAGACACUAAAUCAAGAUCGCAAAACUCACAACCCAACAAAGAAAUGGUCAUGAAACAUUAUCCAGGAAUGCACAACAUGAAGAGCUAACCUCAAAAGGAAUACUAACGCCCUAAUAUCCAUGAGAAGUUCAAGUGGGAUGGAAAAAGUAUCAAGAUCCAGCAAAAGAUGUAUCUCUAGCCAGAAAACGAAAAUCUAAGAUGAUGUUGAAAGAAUCAGCAAAAAUCAUGUCACAUCAAUGAAAGAGCAACUCUCCUUAACCUAUGGAUAACCAGAUAGGUCUGAGUAACCCUGAAGCCCAACCACAAUGUGAACCUAGUAUUAAGUUAUAGAUACCUAAAUCGGAUUCAUUAAACUACCAAUAUGUAGGAUUUGUAUGUAUUCGGCACAAAUUUGACCAUGUCCGCUCAUACGUGAAAAAAAAUGUCCUUGGCAUAAUUUAUACAAAAAAUUAUAAGAGAGCAUAAAUUUUAAGAAAGUAACACCGAAAGAACUUGAAGAAAACAGACCCCUAAGUCUGCAUUGUAGAAGAUAUAUAUGGGCACUGUACCAAUCACAUGUGCAUGAUCGAGAGACUUGUUUCACUUUGUGAAAGAAUGUCCUCACACUGUUUUCCAAAUGCAGAUUAAUAGUAGCAAGAUAAUAUAACACUACCUAAAUAGAUUAACUAACUAACUAGCAGCCACUGAACCUUCACUUCUCAAUGUUUAGAGUUUGGGUUUAUAAUUCAAUAAUCCUGACAGGUAACAGAAUGAAAGUAAAGUUGCCACAAGCAAAUGCAUAAAUGAGAACAGAUUACUCACUUGUGCAGCCACAACCAACAAACCUAUCCAUUUACACAUUUCAAAAUUUGAUCUCACAAAAUUCUUUAGCUCAUCAAAUUUUCCCGUUGGAUCCUCUGGGAAAUCCUGAUGCAUAGGGAGUAUAGGAUAUGAAAAUGUAUGUAAAACAUACCUAGAGUAAAUUUUCUAAAUAAGAAAUUCAGGGCGAUUCUUACCUCCUCCCAUUCUCUGUUCAGAAAUAUAUCUGCAAUUAAUGCAGCCUCCAUCAUGACAAGCAGAAACACAAAUGCCAUGUACUGCACUGCUGGUUAAGGUUAACAAGAAAGAGCUAACAAGAAACUCUGAAAUCAAAUUUGGUUAUUAACAUUCUUCAUACAAAUUUGACUUAUUGCCAGACCAAGAAACACUCAUCUCAAUUCAGCUUCAAAGCUCACUCAGUUAAAAUAUGAAAUGCAUUAUUCUCAUAUAAGCAUCAUCACAUCUUAUUAUAAUAAACCUGCAAUGUGCUUGUCAGGUUUUAAAAAGCCGUAAAAUUCUAACAGAUCAUGUAGAUAAUACACCAAAAGGGUAAAUGAGGAUAUCAAAGGAAUAAUAUCCACAUCUACCUGAAAUUUAGGAACUCAUAUUCUCUGAUUUUUCAUAUUGUAGAAUCCAUUCCAUCAAUAUACCUAAGUUCUACAAGGCAAGCAGCAAGGGGGAGGUUUCUCUAGAUAAGCAUGCUAUGAAACUCUAUAAAUAGGUAAAUGAACAGAGAAGAAACACAAGAUGGUUGCCUUGAAAGAUACCAACGUAAGUACAGACAAAAAGAACAUUGACACUCCGUUUCACUACUAAAAGAAAUGAAAAUCCAUCUCACUUGUGAAAUGGGAUCACCAUCACUAUGGGAUGUAGAGCAGACAGAUGUAAAGUUCUGAGAGAAAAGAAAUGCAAUCCAUUCUAGUGUAAGAGAAACAUCUCGAAUUUGGAUUUAGAAUGAGAGCAGAAGUGUGAAGAACGUAAGAUGCUAAA